GUUUUAUUCUUCUUUUCUCUCUGGUUUCGAUUUUUCUUCACAUACCUGUAGCCAGUAUUCACUACACUGCUUGAUUCAUACCGUUGGUUCAUGCUUAUAAUAUUGAAACAUUGGGCAUCUUUGAAGUAUAUUUCGUUUCGGCUUGCACUUUACACUUGGAAUUCGCUGAGAAGUGCAUCUGAAUGGAACUUAUUUUCUCACUGCAGGAUUUCAUGGAAGGUUAUGAUGCUGUCGUAGAUGGAGACCAGGAUUUUGUUCCUUAGUCCUGACUAUGUGAGAUAUGUUCUGUAUCUGCAUAGGCUAGCUGCUGAUUUAAUCCAUGGCUGUUGCACAUUGUGUGUGCAAAAUUGUGCCAAUUGUAAUAGGCUAGUUAGAAGCAGGUCAUCUUCAGAAAAAGCCCCAUUUCCAUCUAGAGUAGUCAGCUCAACAAAAGAUUUUAGCUUCGUCGUGGUUUUUGAGAUCAUAAAAAAACACAUUGAAGUUUUGUCAGGUUGAACGUGUUCUGAUUGAUGUGUUAGAUGGUUAAAUGGAAUAAUUUUCAUGAAUUAUUCGAAAUGGUGCGCUUUAUCCAGUUUUUAUCUGGCAAUACUUUUUUUUUUUCGGGAAUACAUCUGGCAAUACUGUUCCUUUCUUAGAAUUAUAGAGAUAACGCUUGUUUUACAUGCAUGACCAUUUACUGUGCAGAUAUAGAACCAAUUAUUUACUGGGAGAUAAAUGGAACCAUGGAAUAUUUGGGUGUCACAAUUUCUGAUUCUGACUGGGUGUAAGUGGGUAAGCCGCGAACCCACUUAUAGGUCAAAAUAAACGAGUUUGUGGCUUAUUUUGGCCUAUAAGUGGGUUUCGCGGGUUAGCCGCUUACAACCUUUCUGAGUGACUUAUUGAGUUUCCACUGUAUGUUACCUUAAUUUAAUUUUCUGUCUAACAGCCUGCAAGAAAGAAAAAUUCCUUUUCCUUAUUUUUUCCAUGUAGCCAAAAACAGUUGAUUACUGUGUAGACAGUCUCAUGUUUCGAUUGUCUGUCGCAGUAACUGCAUCUUCUCAUUUUGAUAUCUGUGCAAGGUCCUCGUUGUACUGAUCUAUCCAUCCCUGUAUGAUCUUAACUUCUUGUCUUCGUUGUUCUACAACCCAAUCUGGAUCAUCUUUAGUUGCUGAUCUGAAGUCCAAAUGAUGAGCUCCUGUACAAAUGGUAUCAGCAUAAGUCUGUCUGAAAAUAUUUUGACUUUACACGUUAUCUUCAGAAUCUUGUUUACCUUUCUCCGUGACAAGGGCAAUGAUACUAGAUGAUAUGUUCUUGAGCACCCUGAUUGCAAAGCAGUAGGGAGGGAUAAAUACAUUAUGGUUUGCUACAGCUGAAAAGUUUAUCUGAAUUACUGAAACUUAUAACAUGAAUGAUCAAAUGGUGAAAUCUUUCAGGCAUACCCGCCACGGCUCCAUGGGUCUCGCAUUCCGUUGGAGAAGAUGAUGUUGCUCCCAAACCUCUUGAGCACCAGGUCAAUUCUCUGUAUCAAAAUGUGGAAUGCAACACCAGGUGAAACACUUCGAAAACCUAUCAAUGUUGCUACUACCUGUUCAUAUCUGAAACUGCAAACCUGAAACAACACUCACAUUUCCACCAUAUUCAGUGGUGAUCCAGUGUGGUCUCGGACGAACACCGUAGCUCUGGAAACAGUCAUCAGAUUUCCCCUCAUAAGUGAAGGUGAAUGGAGGGAACAUGCUCUCGUUCGAUAUCGUCAUCGGCAUGACCAUUUCUGUGCAGGCCUGCAAGAGAAGUUGCUUCAGAAAACACAACUAGUAUCUAUCUCAGUAUUGUCAGUGGCAUUGUAUCAAUCACCUGCCAUCCCCAACCACUGAGGCCAUGGGGGUCUUCUCCAUCCUCUAACUGGAAGCAUGUUUGAUCUCCUGUGUAAUUGUAGUACAGACUCGCCGCUGCGAAAGCUUUGUCAACGAUGUCUGCUCCUGCAGGGAAGCCGUGGAUGAUCUUGCACAUCUGUAGAAAUUUCAUGAGAAAUUUACUGAGAACUGAAAUUCCCUGGGAAUUAUAUGUUCAGUGAGACAGAAGAACAGGCAUGGUUUCUGCUCAGCUCAGUUUGGUGUUUCUGACACAAUCUUGGUUAUGCAUUUGGUUGAAAUGUAGAGAGGAGAUUUGGACAUUGUUUGCAGAACAUAGGUAGAGAUGGCAACCUCCUUGAUAGGAUAGGCAGGCAGAUUCAUCAGGAAAUUGGCCGGGGUUGGAUAGUCCACCAUGGCUGUGUACACAAAUGCUGUCCAUAGCCAGUUUCUGAACGAGUAAACCGAUUUCACAGUCCUAAAAUUUGAGGGAGGAAAAAGGCAAUAUUGUGAACUCAGGUUAGUGUAAAUCCAAUCAAUGUCAUUCUUCAUCUAUUCAGAAGUUGGGAAGAUGACCUUUAAUCAAAGAAUGAUCAUGGCUGUCAUAUAUAUAACUGAUAAGGUCUAUGUCAUUUUUUUACAUAAACCUGUUCUGUCUGGUAUCUUAUCUAUCAAUAUAUUAGGCAAUCCUUAUUGCCUUCUUAAAAAUGGAUAAGUUUUAUGCCACCUGUAAAUUUAUAUAGUUUCUUACACAUCACGACAAUGAAGCAUAAUUACUUGAAUUUGUGUGUGUAUAUUAUCCUUUUCUGAAUCUGCAUGCUAUUUUUCUUUUCUUGGUAUUGUUUGGUUGAUCACUUGCACUGCACACAUCUGGAAUAUAAUAAUUACAAUGAUCUCAAUUUUCUGUUUUCCUUUAUAUCUAAUAAGACUAUAAGACGUGGAUAAAAUUUUGGAUAUUCGUGGCACGUUUUUCAAACUACUAAAUGGUGCGUUUCGUGCGAAAACUUUCUAUAUGAAAGUUGCUCUAAAAUAUCAUAUUAAUCUAUUUUUUAAGUUUGUAGUAAUUAAAACUCAAUUAAUCAUAUGUUAAUACCACCUCGUUUUACGUAAAACACUUAAUCUUAUUUUUCAUCUUUAUCUUUAGGAGAAAAGAACACCACCUAGGUAGUGUAUUAAACCAGCAAUAAACUUACUUGCAGGCUCUGAAGGUUUUGCUGAGCUGUAAGAGCCCUGCAUCAGUGGAUCCCCUCUCAUCUAUCAAAUCCCAAGCUGCCUUGAUAACACUGAAGCAAUUGAAGCUUUCAGACUGCAAUAUCAGUUGCAAGUUAUAGUCAGUUUACAAAAAGAUUAAUCGAUGGUCAGUCACACAAAGAUGCCAAAUCUUACUCGGAAAAAAAAUAGAUCUGGUAAAAAAAAGAGUAAACAGCUCAGUCAAGUGGUUGCUUCUAUGAAAUACAUUUUUGACAAAUCGAAGAGAAGAUUUAUAGCCAGUCGCCAAGAAAGCGACUUUAAGGUCCUGUUCUUAAUGUCCGUAUCCGUGGAUUAUUUGUGGAUUAUUCAUACCACACUUUCAAAAGUACGAUUUCUCGACAAACUUUCUAAUAGAUCACUCAUCAGCCCUCUCCACAUUUCAUUGGGCAUUUGGGCCCUUAAAAAGCAGCAACCAUGUCUGUACUCUUGAUAAGCCUAUGGCGUGGUCACUCAAGCGUCGCAAUCUAGCUAAUUAAACAGUAUAAUCACAAUCAGCCAUGCAGGUUGCAUGGUCUUCAGGGCCUUGUCUACCUGAAUCAGGUUGCCAUUUCAAUCCAGCAUUUAAGCUGAAUGUACAUGAACAGUGCAGAGGCUAAUAGUCCAUCAUAACAAAUCCAUCAACUACUAACUAACUAUACCGGCAAAUGCUCAAUGAUCAUUCAUCAUUGGACUUGUAGUGUAGGCAAUCAGCUGCAGGAGGAGACAUGGCUGCCAUGCUUACCAACUUCAAGCCAACACGUACUGUCAGUUACAGUAGAUGUACUGCAUGCUGUGACUGACAGGUCAAAAGAUGACGAUUUUUACUGUACGUGACAACGGUCCAGUGACAAUGACAGUGGGCCACACCUAGAUAUUUUUCUUUCGUCAGAUUUCCAGACAAACUGGCACCGGUCGGUCAGUAGUUGACUUUCAACAUCUAAUGCACAAUUUCCUUAAACAGUUCUAUGAAAUUAUGCAUCCCAAAAUAAACCUGUCCUUGAACAUAAAUAUUAAUUUUGGUUACAAAACGCAUAACUAGUUUUCAUUAGUAAGAUUUGAUUUGGUUAAAAAAAAUACCGAUACCUCACAGUGCCAAAUCGUUUUCAAUCAUUGGAUCUAGCUGGGCAGGAUUGACAUUGUUAGAUUCAACGAUCGAAAAUGAUUUGAUACUGUGAGGUACCAGUACCUCGAGGUAUUUUUUUGUUGGACCGGAGCAAAUAUCAUCAUUAGUACCUUGUAAUCUUGCGAGACGGCCUCGUAGAAGCUGCUCCAUGGAGUUAUGUAGUCGAACUGCAGGAUCGGAGCAGAGGACGCGACGGCGCCAAUGGUGACAUGGGGAUACUUUAGCCUGAACCAUGAAGCCAACACUGCAAACAACAAGCAAAACAACAAAAAAAAAAGGAUUAGUUCAUCCUAAUCUCGCUAAUCCUAAUACGAACAAAACCCCACGACGGCCAAUGUCAGACACGCAGUACAACAAUUAUGGUAACUUUAUGAAUCAUCCGUGUGUUUAUAAUCUAAGAGAUCCAGAUCCACGCCGCAACGAACAAAACAAAAAACACAUGACACAUGCUAAGUUCCUUAAUAGUAACUUUUAACUAUGCAUGUAAAUACAAAGCCUCGUCGUUCCGUUUAUGCUUAUACUUACUUGUAAGUCUAAAUUUAAAUUUUAAAACUUAAUUUUAAGUUAAUUUCGUGGUUUUCCAUCAGAAUUUAUUUUACAACAUUUUAUCUUGAAUCGUGCUAAGGACACGUGUAAAAAUGUUUUAUCCAUAAAUUAUUGUUUUUACUAAUAAAUCGUUUGGAUAAGCAAAUUAGUAGCGGAAAUAAUGGGACUGACAUUUUUUUUAAAUUCAUUUUUAGAAAUAAUGGAACUCACAUUUGUUUAGAUUUAUAAUUAGAAAUAAUGGGACUCACAUUCGUUUAGAUUCAUUGUCAGAGAUUGUUAUAUUAUGAGGAAUGGGACUCACAUUUGUUUAGAUUCAUUUUCACAUUUGUUUAGAUUUAUUUUUAGAAACAAUAGAAUUCACAUUUGUUUAGAUUUAUAGUUAGAAAUUGUUAUAUUCUGAGGAACAUCUAUUAUGAGACGUAAUAGUUAAUUAAUUACAAUGAGAUUUGGAUCAAACAUUUUCUCUAAAAAGAAAUUAGAACAAACAUUUUUUAAAAGGAAAUUAUGAGCAUGUUGAGGAUUGAACGUGAGGCAUUAGAAUUGAAACCACACACCAAUUACCACUGCACUGAUAGUGCAUCUCAAUACGUAAUAGUUAAUUUAAUUAUUGGUGACUUACUGCCGCCGUAGGAGCCACCGAAGACGACGACGGGGGAGGAGACGGCGGAGAGGUUGUGCUUGAGGCUGGUGAUGAGGACGGCGAAGUCGGCGAGCGCUUGCGUCGACGUCAGGUACCCCAGCUUCUCCGGCGAGCUGUUCGACUCGUUGCCGAACGGCUUCGACUCCCCGUAGAAUCGAUGCUGCUUGCUCAAAUCAUGCUCAUCAACCGUAAGUACGGUGUUAAUUCAGUGUGAUUAGUGAUGUGUGAUUGCUUGCCUCGAUGAAGACGAGCAGGGCGCCGAAGCUGGGCGCGAUGUCGAACAUGAAGCCGGUGUUGGUGGCGAACCACUCGAUGUCGCCCUCGUUGCCGGUGUACACGAAUAUCGGCCCGGCCGGCGUCUCGCCGGCGGCGGCGCUCCGCCGCCAGAAGGUGUCGUUGACGAGGUACUUCUGGUAGAAGACGGCCGACGCGUUGGGCGUGAAGGUGAAGUGGUCCAGCUCCUGCGGGAAGUAGUGCGCCGUGAACGGCUUCGCCGCCGCCGCUGUGCCGUUCCCUCCGGCCGCCGCCGCCGCCGCGGCGACGACAUACCUGCUGCCGCCGGCGGAGCUCGCCGGCCGCCGCUGCUGCAGAGCUUGCAGCUGCAGGGGAGGGACUCCGGGGAAGACGGGGCUAGCUGCAGCUGCUGCAGAGGGGGCUGCGACGAGGAGGAGGAGGAGAGCUGCUGCUAUGGCGGCGAGAGGGUGGAGUGGCGAGGCGGGUGCCGCCAUUUUUGCAGCUCGUCCGUCUCACUCGCUCGUGUGGGGGUUUAUUAAAGGAGCAGAGAUGCUCUGCCAUGUCGGGCCCACAUGUCGGUGCCCCAAACGGCAGGUAAGACGUCGGAGUAUGGUAGUACGUAUUUUGUGGAAUCUGUGUCCGGCCUUGCAUAUAUUGCAUGCAAAUCGUUCUGAUGCUUUCGUGAGUUUUAUCCUUAAAAAAAAAGGCGAAUACUAGGAAAUAACUUAAUAUCAAAUAAUUAGAAGGGGUGAUACUUCGAACCCAGAUCGUCUAGCCCACCACCUUAUGAAGUUAGCCGAAAAAUUCUUAUGUGUUUCUCCUUCCGAUUUGAACAAGAAUAUAUACUAAAGAUUAAUUGUCAUUUAAAUUGACGGACUUUGGGUCCAACGACUUUGGAUCAUAGCGUGUUACGUCUGAGCUCUAGGAUAUUGUCAUUUGGUUUGUGGUCUUGUGGACAAUAUCGUAGCCUCGUAGGAGACUCGGCUAUUACAACAUGUAUCAGCAAUACAAUGUGUCCCUGCAUCAAAAGAUACAGCUACCUCUAGCAUUUAAAUUUGUUCAAAAUAUGACUAUUUUUUCUUAUUAAUUUCAACUGAUCACAACAAUCGCCAAUUAAUUUCUUCAUCAUUUUCUUAUCUCAACCAAUUACAACCAUUCGCCACAUCACUUUACCUACUUUAUUAAUCUUCGUGCUUGCAUAGUUUCAAAGGUAGGAGUAACUAUAUUCUGGGAUGGACAGAGAAAAUGAGAGAAUGUUUAUGGUAGUUGAUCUUAAACGCAUUUGCUCCUAAGCCUCUUUUGGAAUGCAAGGAAACUCAGACACAAAACAUGGAUAAAAUUACAGAAAAUAAACUAAUCUAUAUAGCAUACUAUAAAAAUUCUUACAUUUUAAAAAGAGCACCUAAGAUCGAAAGGCUGAAAAUUAUUUCGAGGCAUGGAACCCCAUUUGCCUUUAUUAAAGAAACACGCUCUCUACUAGUACACAAGUCCGGAUAUCGUCCACACACAAGGUGCCGAUGCAGACCGGCUGCAUCAUUCCUAACGCAACCGGACGCUCUAGAGUCUAGAAACAAUCAACAAGAGAGAAAAUUGGCUUCUAGAGUGACAUGGACAGAUUGUUUGCCUGUUGAAGCUUGCACAUGUGGAUUACCUCGAGGAUAAUCCCCCGAAAUGUGGGGAAAAUAAAGUAAUUAAAUGGUCUCUCUCUCUCUCUCUCUCUCUCUCUCUCUCUCUCAAAUGACAAAAUGAUCUCUUUUGUGUAUAUAUCAUUAUCCUAAGCAAAUCCAGUUGAUCAUAUUCAGUCAUGGGUCCAUUCAUGUUGUCCAAUCCAAAUCAGCUGCAAAGCUAGGCUAAGCAUCACGCGUCAAAGGCGUUUGGAAUAUUUCAUCCAAUGCGUGUAGUGUGUGGAAACAUAGGAAUUAUAAUGGUAUUGGGCUGAUUGAUUGCUUGCACAAGGCUCAUCUUGCCUCUUAUACGUAGUAGAUGCAGUGUCUUUUCAAAAAAGCUUUUUUUCUUUCUUUGUUUGAUGGAAAAGCGUUUGCAGGUUAUCAGUGGAGUGAGCCAGAAUGACCUCACGAGUUUGUUUGAUGAAAAAUGUUCCAUUUGUCUCGUAUGUGGUCAAAAGGAACAUGUAAAUUCCUGCUUAAAUUGGACCCUUUUCAUGUACUAAAUAAAAUACAUGCAUUCGAAAACUUGCAAUUCUCCUGUAGAGAUCAGAUAGAGACAUCUCAGUGCAAUCAAGCAUCUUAGUGACAGGAAUCUGCCGACGGGGCAGGCUGAUGAGGGUAUUGUUUGAGCCCAUCAUGUGGCCGUGGACUAGUUGGGCUUUGUUUGGGCCCACAACUGGUGUCAAUGAUCCCAAGAUUUGACCUUCAGCUGCAAAAAGGAGACAGCUCAGAGCUCCAUCAUAGCGGCAAUCUACGUUGCCAUGAACUUCUGCACGGCUAAAUGUUUUGCCCUUUCCCUACUCUCCCGUGCUCUAGCGUCAGCUUCAGAAACAAAAUCUACUGCCAAGUAAACGUAACAAAUGCACCUCAAUUGAUUAGGUUUUCUACGAUGAAAAACAACCCAUCCAAGUUUAAAUUCUAAACUUGACAUAAAUGCAUGCUCAUAUUUAUGAUUAGUUAAUUUUUUUCAAAGGUAAACAAUAUACCUGUUAGUAGCGAGACAUCCAUAGUGGCAUCGUCAAUCUUUCAAACUAGUCUUUCGAAGGUGUUUAUAAGAGUAAGAAUAUGCAUAUUUAUUUAUAAGGAUGAGUAUGCGUGCAUUGUGAGCGGUUGCAUUUAUAUUGUGUUUCUCAUAAAAAGGAACAAAAUUUACCCACAUCCCAAUGAGCGAGCGUGGUAACUUAUCAAUCUCAAUAUAUAUCGGACCAAUCUUAUGAAGAUGCUAACUUAGGAUGGGACAUUUAAGAACCUAGGAUGGGAGGUUCUUAUAUUUUGGGACGGAGGGAGUAUUUAUUAAGAUAAGUGCGAUUCGUUAUGAACAAUUGUAUUUAUACCAUGUUUCUUACUAACUCCGUCCCAAAAUAAGUGCAGUCAUGGAUAUCCGUGCCCAACGUUUGAUCGUCCGUCUUAUUUGAAAAAAAUUUGAAAAUAUUUAGUCAUACAUAGAGUACUAUUCACGUUUUAUCAUCUAAUAGCAAUAAAAAUACUAAUCAUAAAAAAUUCAAAUAAAACGAACAGUCAAACGUUGAACGUGAAUAGUGCAAAACUGCACUUAUUUUGGGACGGAGGGAAUAAAAAAUCUACUAACGUCCCAAGGAACGAGCGUAGACGGUGACAACUCGCACGUCAUUAGUUGCAACCGUACAUCAUUCCCGUGCUACAGGGCGCCCCUUGAUCAGUCGUGUCAGAACACUCUGCUGCAAACGGUCAAAAGAAGCAGGUUACCACCAUGUCCACUAGUGAUGGUUACCACCAAAAUCUACCCAGUUGACGAACGCACAGACAGUGUCAGUCAUCACAAGGCAACAAGAUACUCAAACUGACCUUGCAAAAAGCUCAGUGAUUUUUCAAUCACUCGCUGCGGUCCUGCACAAGAUCUGGAAAUCUAGGCGUCGGAGAGUCCCCAACUGAUCAUGUGAGUGCAUGAAAGCACUAAGCAGACAAUGCUGUGCCACAGCAGUGGCUUGUACAAUGCAGCAGUACAGCAGAAUAGUUGAUCAAAUGAGUGCAAUAGUGGAUCAAAUGAGUGAUGCACUUUUACCGAUAAACACUGAAGGAAUAUGAUAGCGAUAAGAUAACAGAUCCACUAUAUAGUGUCACCCAUGAAAGAGUUGAAACCCUAUAAUCAGUUCCACAGUAAACUCCAACAAGUGCACGGAUUUAGCAGCAAAGAUCAAAUAGGCUUUUCACUCUUAAGGCAAAUAUGAAGGGUAGAGCUAUCAGAUUAAUAUACAAGGCACGUCAGAUCACUAUUACAUCACAAAUAUUGCAUUGGCAAAUAGUUCACUGCCAAAACCAUAAUGCCGGUUGUUGGGAGAAGACAACAACAAUAAAACAAAACAAGAAAAAAAGUGCUGGUAAAGGCCGAAGAUAAAUAAUACAUAAAAGGAAGGCUUAUUUUGUUCUUUGGAACUAUGUAUAUACAAGAUGGUGGCCUUGUUUGUAACCUGUCUAAGUAGGGAAAUCAGCACAGACAUGUGACAAUGCUCAAAGCAUUUUAUCCCGUGAUAAUUAUUAUGAGGAUUUAGAUGGUUGGUACCUCCAAUUUGCAUGAAUCCUUUCUGUUCGAAGUCUGCCAGGAAAACAAAACAAUGCGAUGUGUAUGUAUAAUAAGCGUCAAUACAAAUACAGAGAAUAAAAGAAACUAAAACUUGCAAACUAUCAAAAUAAGAGGGGAGAUUUUUGCCUUUCGCCACGGACUUGUUACAUCAUCUCAUACAUGCCACUUGAUUGGGUCAGCGCAACAUGUAAGUGCAAAUUCAGUGGCAUAAAUGAAAGUAAAAAUGUGUUUUAUGAAUCCGAAAAAAUCAGUUCUAUACAAUUAUUAGCUUCUCAGCAAACAGAAAAAUACCAGACAUGGAUCUAUACAGAUACAAUACAACCAUAAGAAACUAAGGACUGUUUUGGGCAAAACAUGGUUGAAAACAAAGAAAAUGUACUAGAAUGGCUCAGGUUAACCCAAACUGUCAAUUCCCAACAGUUACAAAUGCCCACGGUUCUGGCAACAUGUACAUACUACCUCCGUCCCUCAGUACAUGAACAAAUGAGUAGAAUCAUUUAACAUGUACUAACAAGAAAUAGCUGCAACCGGUAACUUGCUGGGGAGCAAGGCCUCCUAGUAUGACAGCCGAUUGAACAUAUUACCAAGGAACCAAGGAGAUGCCAAAUGAUCUCCAAGGGGCAGUCAAAUCAUCACAGCCACCAGUUCCAAAUGCCUGUGUGGUUACAACCGUAAGAAACUAAGGACUGUUUUGAGUAAAACAUGGUUGAAAACAAAGGAAAUGUACUUGAAUGGCUCAGAUUAACAACUGUCAAUUCCAAACAGUUACAAAUGCCCUUGGUUCUGGCAACAUGUAACUACUCCCUCCAUCCCAGUGUACAUGAACAAAUGAGUAGAAUCAUUCAUUAUAGCAUGUACUGACAAGAAAUAGCUGCAACUGGUAACUUGCUGGGGAGCAAGGCCUCCUAGCAUGACAGCUAAUUGAACAUAUUACCAAGGAACCGAGAAGAUGCCAAAUGAUCUCCAAUGGGCAGCCAAAUCAUCAUAGCCAUUCAAGAAAUAAAAAAAUAACAAACAAUGAAAUAUGCAUCCACAGAAGUAUGCUGUGAAAGUAUGAAACAACAAAAAGAAAGAUCACGCUAAAGCUAACUGAAUAAACAGUUAACAUUCCUUUAUUAGUGUUACAUUACUUAAUUUUAGAAAAAAGAAACAAUUAAGCUCCUAUGAGCAAGUAUUGUCAUCACCGUGCAGUAAGCAAGUUAGACUACAAGUAUUGCCCUGGUACCAUAACAUCCCCCCAUUUAUGAUUUAUUCAUUCUGGGAAGACUUCGUGCUCAUUAAAGUGCCUGCUGGUAAAAAAGUAAGAACUAAAAUACCAUUGAGCUGAUUACCAACAGGAUAUUGCAAUGGGUAAAAAGUAGCAAACUGCCAUCGCGAGACAUGCUUGCUAAUUUGCCAGAGCACUGUAAAAUGUCGGUUGUGGGAGAAGAUAACACGAAUAAAACAAAAGGAAAUAAGUUGCGCUGAAGUGCUGAUAAAGACUGAAGAUAAAUAAUACACAAAGACGACUAUUUUUUGGUCGGUAGGGAUAUCAGCACAGGCAUGUGACAAUGCUCAAUGCACCCAUUGGAAAUUAGUAUUGAGAAUUCAAACGGUUGGUACCUCCAAUGGGUGAAUCCUUUCUGCUCUAAAUCUAGCCAGGAAAACAAAAUGAUGCAACGCGUUUGUGCAAAUUCCGUGGAAUACAGAAAAUAAAAUAAAUUUACAAACUCAAAUAUCAAAACAAGAGGGGAGAUUUUUUGCCUUUCGCCACUGGAUAAGAUCAAGGCAACGUGCAAGUGCGAAUUCAGUGGCAUACAUGAAAGGCAAAAUGAGAUUUAUGAAUCCAGACAACUCGGAUCCAUACAAGUACAACCAGGAAAACUAAAGACUGCUUUUGGGUAAAAUAAUGAUUGAAAAGAAAAGAAAUAUAUUUGAAUGGCUCAGAUUAACCUAAAUGGCAAUUCCAACAGUUCUGAAUGCCCGUGGUUCCGGCAACAUGUAAGUACUCCCUCCGUCCACUUUGUACAUGAACAAAAUGAUGAGUAGAAUCAUUCGUUAUAGCAUGUACUGAGAAGAAAUAGCUGCAACUGGUAACUUGCUGGGGAGCAAGGCCUCCUAGUAUCACAGCUAAUUGACAUAGGCAUGUCCUGUAGCAAAAUUUGCCUUGAACAUAUUACCAAGGAACCAAGAAGAUGCCGAAUGAUCUCCAAUGGGCAGCAAAAUCAUCACAGCCAUUCAAGAAAUUAAAAAUAACAACAUGGCAUUUUCUGACAUUUAAGGUGGUGUUUGAAUCUCCUGAAGAUGAAGGCUGUGUUUAGUUCACACUGAAGUUUGAAAGUUUGGUUUAAAUUGGAACGAUGUGACUGAAAAGUUGUGUGUAUAAAAGGUUUGAUGUGAUGGUAAGUUGGAAGUUUGGAAAAAAAACUUUGGAACUAAACAGGGCCAAAGAUAAAGAUUAAGUGUUUCACGCAAAACGAGGUGGUAAUAAAGUGAAAUACUAUGCCACUGCUUCAGAUAUCAAUGUUGCAUUUGCUGACAUUUAGUAGGUAUAUGCAGAAUGGAAUGACCCUUUCCAUGUGAAAAUCAAUCACCAAGAAAACCAGAUAGAACAAAACGGAAAUAUUAGGGAAGGACCUAAUAUCAAAUAAUUAUAAGGGGUGAGGCUUCGAACCCAGGUCGUCUAGCCCACCACCUUGUGGAGUUAGCCGGAAGACCCCUAGGCGUUUCUCCGGAUAGAUAGAACUGAACCCCAUAAAACCAUUCGUCCGUAUUACUCCAAAUCCCGUUGCAAAGCACGGGCAUAGCACUAGUGCAUGAAAAGAAAAAGGAACUGUAGCCAAUGCGAAGAAUACAAAUGCUUGAGGAACACAACUGCAUCGAGCACCUUCAUUGGGCUCAGCUUCGCCUUUGAUCAAUCAAAUAACCCAACCCCCACCAUCCCUUAUCACCAGACCUAUCAGUUCUAGCGGUAGUGGAGCUACCCUGGUUAUCAUUCGAAACGAAUGACCAUCCAAGGACAAAGCCACUGGCAUUAGCACAUGACUAGAAAGGCUCAAAGGGGGUAGAGGGAGGGUCCAAUUUAAUACCCACAGCAGCCUCAAUUGCUUGAAGGCAUGCUUAUUUCAGCCAAGGUCGAUCGUCAUCGCCCUCUGUGUUCAUUGCGGACCAUACGUAGUACCCUGCCACAAAUACAGCAUAUGCUGAUGCGAUCACCAACACUAAGAGCAAGUAUAAUAGUAUAGCCAGAUCUACAGCCUGAUUUUCUUCUUCUUCUUCUUCUCUCUCUCUCUCUCCUCCAAUUGUACCUGCUCUAACGAGCCAAGUCGGCUCAAGCUCACGACGACGACCAAAACCCCCAAGAGUCCACAGCCGAUCCGGACACCACCCUAGGUUCCAAUUGCCUUCACUGCACGGCGGCGGCUCACCUUAGAGAUGGGAAUCCGGACGCUGCGGCCUCUCGGCGGAUUGAUCGUCGGCAAGCUGUGGGAAGGAAUUCCUGCGAAACCCCUUUUAACAAUGGCAUAAUCUCCAAUUUCUCGUCGUCAGCAAGCAACUGCACUUGACAUUGGGUCGGUUAGGGUAUAAACACACAAGCACACAGCACACGGUGCGCCAUAGAGGCCGUGAGGGAGAAGGACGAGGAAGAGAGAUUGUGGUGGUGAUGACCGAAUCUCGAAAACGUGGCUAAAAACGAAAUCGAAAGAAAAUCCAUGGCGAGGCGGCUCAGAUCUCACCUUGGCCGACCCGCCCUCCCCUUACCGGAAGCCGCGGCAUCGCCUCCCCACCGCCCCCACGGUCCCCGAUCCCCCAACGCCGAUGCGCCCCGUGGCGGCGCGGACGGGGGGAGGGAUGGCCCCGCGAAGGCGGAGGGUUCCGACGCGCGCGGCCGCCGCUCGGGGAGACGCGUCCGCGCCAAGGGCCGGGGCCUCCUCAUCGCCGCCGGUGUUCCCGAGAUGGCCGCGGUCUCGAUCGGGUGGUGCGGUCAUCGGCCGCCGCGAGCAGGACGGACGGAGCGGCGAGGUCGAGUACUCGCCGUCGCCGGCGCCGCCGCUCGCGGUGGCCUCACACUUAAACUAAUGAUGAGUGAGCGGCGGUGGAGUCCGCGGCGGAGGGUUUUGUGUGGGGUUUCGGGAGGAAGACGAUGCGGUGACGUCAGCCCUGUCCACGCGUCGCGUCAGGAGGGCUGUGAGGAAUAGAUCCAACGGACAGGAUUAGCGCCGAUUACAGUGGAGGCAGCAGAUUGAGCCCGACUCGGUGGCAUAGAACCACGGGUGGAUUCAAGUUAAUGCAUUUUGGUUGAAAUUUAAGGAAAAUUGGUUGUGUGACAUUAAUAGAUGUCGAUUUCCAAAAAUAAACCAUCAAAAGAUUCCAAUACUUAGGGGGCAUGUACAACGGUCUUUAUUAGUGGUCUCUUUCUAUUGUCAUGCAAUUAAAUUCGAUGACGCUCUCUAUUGUCAUGCAAGUAGAUUCGAUGACAUAGAAGAAAGAUAAAGGAGUAUGACAUAGAAGAAAGAUAAAGGAGUAUGAUUGUUAUGCAUGACAACGGCUCAGAAUCGACUCUUAACAUUUAUUAGAGCAAAUUUUGUUGCAUGGUGAUGAAAGAAAGGAAAGAAGAGUAAGAAAAAGUAUUUUGAUACAUUAAUGAUUAGAGACCAUAUUAUCUCUAACUGUUGUAGGAUGCUAGUCUCUAGAUAACGUAGAGCUCAUUUCUGACUCUACCUUUGUAUAUGCCCUUAUUCCCAAAAACACUCAAUUGAAAUAUUACAAUAUUUAAAAAUAUACCACUUUAGAUGUUUUACACGUUUCCUACCAUGUGAGCAAGAAAGUGGUAGAUAGGGCACAAUCUCUUUCCCUCCCGCUCUCCACCUUACUCUUUCUCCCUCUAUCUCUCACCACCUAACAACACAAACAAGUGACGACAAGAGCCCUCCAACAAAGCCCCUUCUCCUUCCUCCAGCCUUCCUCCAGCGAACUCCAAUGAAAGAAAUGGUGCAGCAAUAAACUAAGCACCUUACUACCUCCAAUAACAUCAUUCCUCUAGCGGAUUCCCUUCGCCCUCUUUUGACGACGCCAGAUCUAGCUCUCAACUCCAAUACCUCCCUCUUCUGCUUCCACCGCCACCACCUAGCCUCGCCACCGCCAAAAAGUAUCAAUGUAUUGGCUUUGCCUUCUCCCUCUCUCCUUUGCCUCCCUUUGCCACCACCGCCAAUGUCGGCCCAUCGUCCGCUGCCGACCCUAUGCCUUCGAUAGCACCGCCACCUCCGCCUCGCCCCACCCUUAUCCGCAAGUCCAUCACCUCCAAAGCCAAUCUAAGCUCAGUCCCCACUUUCCCUCUCCAAUAGCUAGCCCUUCCCCUCUACCCCACCCUGUCCCGAGCUUAACAUCACGUGAUCAAAAACCACACGUGACAUAACCCUGGCACGCGUAUAAAUUAGGAUUCCUGUCUAUUCUGUGCCUCCACACCAUGAACUUUCUUUUGCCCUCGAGUAUUGCAUUGGGAAACGAGAGAAACCUGAAAAAUGUUAAGAGAAAUAGACAAUGAUAUAAUUUACAUGAUUAUAUCUUUUAGUGGUAUUUAAAUGUACAUAUUUCUAAAAUCGAUUUUUUUUGGUGUCAUCGAACUAAUUUUCCCUAAAAUGUAGAGUCCAUAUCUCUCAAAUGGCAGUGAACGAAUGAUAUCUCGAGUGGCAGUGAACGAUUUAAGUCAUUGUAGUGGAAUAUAUUUUGAGUUUCUUUAAAAAAAAGAAAGAAGAACACUCCGCAAGCUGCCGUGCUAGACUACAUAAAAGAACUGACUUUUAUAUCCUAGUUUAAUAUUAAUUAAAUGUGAUGACAUUGUAAAUCUUAUUACAAGAAAUUGGUCUAAACCGAACGCGCAUUGUUGUAUUUAACUUCAAAGUUCAUAAGAAUACUCCCGAUGACACCGUUGAUUUUUUCUUAUAUCUUUGACCAUUCGUCUUAUUUAAAAAUUUUAUGCAAAUAUAUAAGAUAUAAAUCAAGUACUAUGAGUGAUAAAACAACACAUAACAAAAUAAAUUAUAAUUACGUAAAUUUUUUGAAUAAGACGAAUGGUAAAACAUGUGAAAAAAAGUCAACGGCGUCACAGAGGUACACAGAGGUAGUACUACACCGAGUGCAUUUUGAUUAUUAUGCUUCCUCCAUUCUGAUAAUCACAAGCGCAAAGUAUUCCGUUGCGGACAAGUCAAGACAAUGUUAAAACGUUAAUUCCAUUGCACCAUCAUUAAAUCUAAGUUUGCUACAUAACGAGCAUAGAUUAUUGUUAAGUGAAAAUGAGAGAAGAGAUAGAAGUGCUAACUACAAAAAUUUCAAACUGUUGCAACUAAAACAAGAUAAUAAUGACAUAAAAAUUACAACCGUUCAUUCCAGCGUGCACCACUGGCAAUGCCUGCUGAUUUCAUCAUGUGGCAUUAGCAACAACAAUUUGUCAGAAAACUGGUUGCAUAUCAUGGAGCAAAACCUCCAAAUUUAGCCACAAAAUUCCCUCCCCAGAAAAAGAAACAAUUAGCCAAAGCUAACGAGGGACUAACAGAUGAUGUUGAAGUUACAUCCGUAAUAAGCUGAAGCCGAAGAUUCGCAAAGCAAUUCACACAAGUCGAUGGGUUCGUCCCUGGGGCCAUUACCAACAAACAUUUUGCCAAGACUUCGUGCUUAUUAAGGCGCCUGCUGGUAAAACUGUAAAGAACAAAUACCAUUGGGGCAAAGCAUGGAUGAAAACAAAGGAAAUGACUUGAAUGGCUCAGAUUAACCCGAUUGCCAAUUCCAAACAGUUUAAUGUGCCUGUGGCUCCGGCAAAAUGUAAAUACUCCCUCCGUCUCUCUGUACAUGAACAAAUGAGUAGAUUAGCAUGUACUAUCAAGAAAUGGCUGCAAGCCUGCAACUGGUACCUUGCUGGGCAGCAAGGCCUCCUAGUAUGACAGCUAACUGAACAUACUGCUAAUGAACCAACAAGAUAUUUAUUUUAGAUAAUGGAUUAAAACAUGGCCUCUACAUCCAAGACUGAUGUACAUGGCCAAGAACGAGAAGAUGUCAAAUCUUCAAGGGGUAGCCAAAUCAUCACAACCAUUCAAGAACUAAAGAAGUAACAAACAGCGAGAAGAUGUCAAAUCAUCUUCAAGGGGUAGCCAAAUCAUCACAGCCAUUCAAGAACUAAAGAAGUAACAAACAUCAAAAUAUGGAUGAACAGGAGUAUAUCCUUAAAGUAUGAAAGGACAAUAAUAAUGAUCACACUACAGCUAAGUUAAUAAAUAGUCAACAUUCCAUUCCUUAAGAAAAAAAGGAAUGAAUAAACUACAUAGAAAUGAAGAGAUAUUUAACUAUUUACAAGUGGCAAUUAAGGAUUUGCUACUGGAUCCACAAUGUCUGUCAUAGAUUGUGAGUAACAAAUUCUUAAUUGCCACAUCUUAAAAGUGGCAAAAAGUUAAAUGCCUCAGCAAAAGCAAAACUUGAAAGAGUUCCAACAUCUCGCAUAUGCUACUGUAUAUGAACAGGGCGACAUGCAAAUGACAACUGAGUGGCCUAAAUGGAAGUCAAAAUGAGAUCAACGAAUCUAAAAAAAAAUUGUUUGUAUAGUAAUAUUAAUUUCUCACCAAACAGAAACAAUACCAGAAUACCAGACUCAGAUCAUUACAAGCACAGCCAUAAGAAAGUAAGGAGGUAAAACAUGGUUGAAAACAAAGGAAAUAUACUUGAAUGGCUCAGAUUAGCCCAACUGUCAAUUCCCAAUUGUUACAAAUGCCUAUGGUUCUGGGCAACAUGUUGAUAGUACUCCCUCCGUAACUCCGUACAUGAACAAAUGAGUAGAAUCAUUCGUUACAUCAUGUACAGACAAGAAAUAGCUGCAACUGGUAACUUGCUGGGGAGCAAGGCCACCUAGUAUGACAGCUAGCUGAACAUAUUACCAAGGAACCAAGAAGAUACCAGAUGAUCUCGAGGGGGCAGCCAAAUCAUCACAGCCAUUCAAGAAAACCAGGCUAUCGAAAUCGCAAAAAAUCCAUUAGAAAAUUUAAUAGCAACUUUAAGUUAGGAUCAUGAUUAGGAAUCAUUUUGUCAUGCGAGCUAACCAAUAAAAUUUUAUUGAUGCAUCUAUAGUCUCGUGAGUCGACAAUGGGGAAUGGUUUUAGAAAAAUGAAGUUCUCUUUUAGAAUUCUGUUGUAACGCACGAGCAUUUAGCUAGUACUAUUAAACUUGCUCUAAGCAGAGUACAUACGUACUCAUGCAGUCAGAGAGAGGGAGAAGAGGAAUGGCAAUGUGCAACAAAAUGGCAACUAAAUAGUGAAAAAUCCAACAACGGCAGGUCAGAUUUCGCAUUGCUCGGUAAUCCCAGGCAGGAAGCCAAUGCGGAUAUAAUUGCAGAGUCCCCAACACCCACUGCCACAGGCACCACCGGCAUUUGUGGCUGCCAAAGUCGAUGGCCUCCACACCAAUGCUGCUCAGCGCACGCUAGGUGGCGGGUAAUGGCCCCGAGAAGCUGAAAUCUGAGGUGGCCACCGCUGCUCGGGAGAGGCACCCUAGCCAAACGGCCUCAUUCCUCAUCACCGUGGGGAAUUUAACUAUUUGCAACUCUUCAAAGAAGCCGCGGUUUUGAGCGAAUGUGAUCAUCACCAACUGCUAGAGGGAGAGAAUGGCUGAUGUAGCACUUCACCUCGCGGCUCGCUGAGCAUGGGAUUCAGUUGACCCCAAGUUUUUCGGGGAAUAAACUCUGUUAUUAGUAGAUCUAGAAGAGAAGAUAGGGUUAACGCAAAUUCGACAAAAUGUGCGGGUAGAGAGAGAGGGAUGAUAAAGAGGAAGUGUACUUGAAUGGCUCAGAUUAACCCGGCUGUCAAUUCCCAACAGUUACAAAUGCCUAUGGUUCCGGCAACAUGUAAUAGUACUCCAUCCGUCACUCUGCACAUGAACAAAUGAGUAGAAUCAUUCAUUAUAGCAUGUACUGACAAGAAACAGCUCAACCGGUAACUUGCUGGGGAGCAACCGAGCAAGGCCUCCUAGUAUGACAGCUAGCUGAACAUAUCACCAAGGAACCGAGAAGAUACCAAACGAUCUCCAAAGGGCACGCAAAUCAUCACAGCUAUUCAAGAAAUAAAAAAUAACAAACAACGAAAUUUGGAUGCACAGAAGUAUGUUCUGAAAGUAUGAAACAAUGAAAAUAAUGAUCACACUACAACUACCAAACAAACAAUUAACAUUCCUUGAGAUAAAAGUUAUGAAUAGACUACAUACAACGAAACAUACAAACUUGAAAACCAGGCUAUCACUCACAGGGCAACUGCAUAACAUAGUAAUUAAUCAAACCGAAGGAAGAUGCCACUGCUUUGGACCAUAGCAUCACACACACUUUAGUGUUCCAUAACAUAACUAAAUAUAAGCUAAGGUAGCAUCUACCUUGUGAACAAAAUUGAGUACCUGGUCACCGCCAUGGUGUCAUUUAUUAGGCAUAAGAACAGGAUAAUGAACAAAUUUGCAAAUAUAUGUGAGAAGAAAAGCAAUUCAGCACACCAGAAAUGUCUGCUCUAGAGAAAAGCAAAAAAUAAACAUGCAGAGGUACACAAACAGAAACUUGAAGAACCAACAAAAACAUGCUUCAAAUAGCAAGUUCCUGAAAUGAGCUCAAAUAAAUGAAUGGCAUAUGUGCACAAUUUUUUUCCUAAUCAAAAUAUACAAAAAUAAAAGGGCAAAAUCUUGAGAGCUACUGUUACGAUAGUAGUAGGUAGUAACUGGUUACUGACAGAAAUAAGUGAAAUGGGCAGUAAGAUUCAAUUAAAUAAAUGAAUGGAGUACUCAGAUUUUGCCUCUGGCCAUUCAAAUAAGCCAAAAUUGAAGAACCCAUGAAAUAACCUUGCCAACCCACACAAUAGCAAGUGCUGCUACAGAACUAAAGCACUCAACUCAACAAUCACCGCAAUGGAGUUCUGAUGUGCAUUUCCAGUAGCAUCUAAGAUCCAACCAUUUGUCUACUAUUCAAUCAACCAAAUAUGCUAUGGGGUAUUUCACUUUUCUUGCACCCAAUCUUCUGUCUGUAUGCAUGGAAAGGUAAAUUCUGAAAAUGGAAAGUCCCAGUGUUAGCUAAGAUCACAAAUAGGUAACAUAAUUCCUAACAUUUGAUAUCAUAAGAGGUAUAUCGGAUAAGUGAUGUGUUGUGGUUAUCCCAUUUCAGCUUCAUAUUCUGUCUCUUGACACUACACUACAUCAACCAACUUCCUAUCCUACAGAUAAAUAUAGGGGAUGCAAAAAGAGUUGAAAACUUUUAAUACUCCCUCCGUUUUCAAAUAAUUGUCACAAUUGACUUUCUCCAUCCAAACUCUAAUCGUAGAUGGGUCUUAUUAAUACAUAUACAAAGCCUUGUGAACAUACAAUUAAUAAAGUGCUAUUCUUAGAUAACGUAACUAAAUAUUUUCAAAAUUAUUAUUUGUGAAAGUUUGAAGGUGUCAAGCCAAUGGCAACAAUUAUUUGAAAACGGAUGGAGCAAUUAACAGUAACCAUACCAUUGUCAUCCCAUGCAACUUUCCGCGUUCAAAUGGCUGCCUGCAAAAUCAAACUAUCCGAUUUUCGGAGAGGGAGACUGGGAGGUAUGGGUGUACACCCCCACCACCCACGUCAAGUCGUCUUCAACUCUAUCCUAUCAUCAAAUGUUUCUUCCCUAUUAAAAUGAUACUAAGUUCUUCAUUGGCAUCCUUCAAUAAUUGAUAGUGUGUUGUGCACAGCAGCUUCAAAAUGAUAAAUCAGUUCGAUUGAUGUUCAUCCUGCUGAGUGUGCCUCUUAAUGAGUCAAAUUCAUCAUUUCCAGCAGAAGGGCAAGUAGGAAAAAGUAAUACAAAAAAGUGCUAAGAGAAUUGAUGAAUAUAUCCACUCCAGGUGAAAGCUGGGAGUUGGAGGACAAAACAACGGAAUAGGCUAGAAACAGAAAAAAAAGAAGCAAGCACAUGUUUAUAGAGGCUACAAAAAGGAUAGAUACUGCAGAUUAUGCUGAAUGUCCCCUGAAUAAAGUAAAAGUACAUGGUUAAAAACAAAGGAAAUGUACUUGAAUGGCUAAGAUUAACCAAACCAUCAAUUCCCAAACAGUUGCAAAUGCCUUCGUUCUGGCAACAUGUAUUUACUCCCUCCGUCCUCUCUAAAUCAACAAAUGAGUAGAAUCAUUCAUUAUAGCAUGUACAAACAACAAAUAGCUGCAACUGGUAACUUGCAGGGGAGCAAGGCCUCCUAGUGUGACAGCUAACUGAACAUAUUACCUAGUAACCAAGAAGACACCAAACGAUCUCCAAGGAGCAGGCAAAUCAUCAGAAACUAAAGAAAAGAACAACAAACAAUAAAAUAUGGUUGCACAAAAGUAUGUUGUGUUGUGGAAGUAUGAAAAAACAAGCUAACUGAACAAACAGUUAACAUUCCUUUACCUGAGAAAACUCAUGAAUAGACGACAUAGAAACAAAAUAUAGACUUGAAAACAAGGCUAGUACUCAUCACAGCAAAUGCAUAACAGAGUAUUUACAUCAAAUAGAAUACGAUGCAACUGCUUUGGUCCAUAACAUCACAAAUUGCAUUGUUCCAUGAAAUUAUUGAACAUCACAAAAUUGAGAACCAUGUCACUGGGCAUGGUGAAUUUACCAGGUAAAAGCUGAACGGAAUGCUGAACUAGUUUGCACAUAUAUGUGAAAAGUAAAGGAACUAUAGCCAACGUGUAAACUCUCACAUGCUUGAGGAACUUUCCCACACAUCCAGCAAGAAUGGAUGGCAAGCAUACCAAACCAAAUAAAAAAUUGCAACUGAUUCUGAAACAGGAAAAAACUAUCAUGCGGCAGCUCAGAUCUCACAUCGCUGCCUGAAAAAUCAACCCACCAAAAAAACCGCCACAUAUAUGACUGAACCCCAUAAAACCAUUCGUCCGUUUUCCUCUCAAUCCCGUUGCAAAGCACGGGCACAGCACUAGUAUUCCAAAUGUAUUGAGUUCACCUCCCUCUGCAUGAUCACAGAAUGAGAUUGUUCAUGAGAAAACCACCUCCACUGCCACCGCUAGCACGCAAUAUGGUAACUUGCUGCAAAGCAAGCCUCCUAGUUGGAGGCUAGCCGAUCAAUUGAACAAAGAACCAACUCAGGAGGUGUUAAUAGAUCUCCCAACACCAAAGGGCCAAAAAUUCAUCACAGCCGAGCAAUAAAAAAAAAGUAGUGUUUUUCUCAAAAUUAGUUUGGAACAAACAUUGCAAGCAACCAAAGAAACUGUUAGUCUUCACUUCUCUGUGAGCUGCCUUGGAAAAGGUUUAACAUCAUCAUCAUCAUUGCAUUCCGUCGGAACAAGUCCGGGUCCAUUGUAACAGGGAAGUGAAGAAGAAAAUGCUGGCAUAGAAACACAGUUCACAGAGAGAAAGUAACCAGGGCUCCUUUGGAACACAGGAUUUUCCCAGGAAUUAGUUCAACAACCAUGUAAAUCCUCCACUCUAUAGGAGGCCCAAGUAGGCUCAGAUUCGCCUUUACUCAGUCAUACAGACCCAACCGCCACAUAUCUUGCACCACAAUCUACGCAUCGUAAUGUAAGUGGAUUUGCCCUGGCUAUCAUUAACAGAAUGACCAUCCUAGUUGCAAGAACCACCUAACAUUAGUGAGUGGAUAGGUUGCCAGAGAUGAUAGGACCAGGUCCAAUUGACACCCACAGCUGCCUUGAUUGUUCAAUGGCAGGAUUGUCAGAAAAGGUUGAUCAUCAUUGCCCUUCUUCCACUAACCAUUUCAUGUUUCCAAAAUUCUAGACACAGAUGAUAAAACCAUACAUAUAUACUCCCACCGUUCCAAAAUACAAGCAGAAUAACUAAGUGCGUACGUACUGCCAACGAGAUCAGCUCGCAAGCUCUCUCUGCGGCGAGGAGAGUGAGGAAGAGGAGGAAUGGCAGUGUAGAGUAAAAUGGCGACCAAAUAGUUUAAAAUCCAUCAAUUGGGAAGGAAACUGACAAGGAAUAAGUUCACUUUAGGUCCCUCAACUAAUGUAAAUGGAUCUGCCCUGGUUAUCAUUUAUCGGAAUGACCAUCCUAGGCACAAGAACCACCUAACAUUAGCAGGUGAAUAGGUUACAGAAUGGCCAAUUUGGUUUACGGUUUGGAGUUUGCAUGUACUGAACUGUAACCAUACAUAUAUAUAUGCAUACAUACAUGCCCACAAGAUCAGACUCGUGAGCUUUCUCACGUGAGGUUGCACGGAGACGGAGGAGGGAGGGGAGAGAAGGGAUGGCAAUGUACACAUUCAUGACCAAAUUGUGAAAAAUCCAUCAAUGGCAGCUCAGAUUUCACGUUGCCCAACUAACCCGGAGGCAGAAAGCCAACGCGGAUACAGCCUCAACAGUCCCCACCCCUUCUGCCACAGGCACCUCAACAUCAGCGGCUGCCAAAGCGGUGGCCUCCAUGCCAAUAUGGAGCACCACAUGCGAAGCAUCAAGGAAUGGCUCUGAGAAAGCGGAGAUCAAAGUCAGCCACCACCGCUCACGAGAAGCACCGGAGCAAACAGCCUCCUUCCUCAUCGCCGCCAUUCCGAACACCCAACUUUUAGGGGGAACAAACUGUCUGUUACUCGUACUAAGGUUAAGGCCCAGAGAAAAGCUUCCAAACUUCCAGAUCUAGAAGAGAAGCUAAGCUUUAAGACAGAGAGAAAGGCGUGGGUAGAGAGGGAUUAGAAAGAGGAUGCACUACGGAUGCUCACCAGAGAGUAUGCGGCGGAAGCAGCAGGACAAUGGCACAGCAGCUCGCGGGAUGGAGAUGGGGGGACAGGGGUGCCAUGGAGCUCAGGCAGCAAGGGAGCCCCCAAUGGUUGACAGAUGUUCUCGCAGCGAUUUCCGGAAACAUACCAUGGCACUCCCAGCGUCAAGCCCAGGCAGACAACACCCCCCCCCCCCCCAUGAGGAGGUGCCUCCACCACACAAUGGUAGCAGCAGCAGCAACAACAACAAAGUAUAUACAUGUGUGUGUGUCUAUAUAUAUAUAUAUAUAUAUAUAUAUAUAUAUAUAUAUAUAUAUAUAUAUAUAUAUAUAUAUAUAUAUAUAUAUAAGAUCGUUACAGCAGCAGUAGCUGAAUGACGAGGAGAGCUCAAGCCAGCGGUAACAGCGAAACUUCACAAAAUCGAGAUUGAAAGUCCAAAAUAGCCAUUCAUCACUGACAGGAGCUCAGGCCUCAAGGUCCGAUGACCAAACCCUACCUGUCACCAUGGCACCGAUGCCACACCAGACAAUACCAACCUACGGUUCCCAGCCCCCAACGCCGCCGCACGGCCAUGGAUGAGAAUCCAGGCAACCGCACGGCGCACGCGUGGUGGAGGCGGCCCCGGAGUGUCAAAAUAGUGGCAAAUAGUUACAAUGGCAUGGAUCCAAUGGCAAAUAGUUAAAUUUCCCCAUGAUUUCUGCUUGCCCUUAUAGCUCAGUUUGUAGAGCGUCCAACUGAUACACGCACGCACACAAGCGUACACAGUGAGGAGAGUAUCAGAGGAGAGAUUGGAAGGAGGAGAAGGCGGCGGCGGCGGCGGCGACGACAGUGAAUGGCAUUACAUCGAAUGCCAGUUAAAGUGAUGCCAUUCCAGCAAAUCAACUCUUGCGAUGGUAGAUGUGCAAUUUUCUCACCAGAUUUGGCUGAUAGCCAUUAGUCUGCUGUACUAUUAAACCUGCUCUGAUCUAGGGUUCCAGCCCCCCACCACGGCCGCACAGCCAUGGAUGAGCAUCCAAGCAGCCACGCGCGAGCGUGUGUGGAGGCGGCCCAGACUGAAGCAAAUCAGAAAUCUGGUGAUGGUAAUGGUGAAGGCGAGCACACCAAACCAAAAACCAAAUCAAAAGCUCAACUGAAACAAACGUACGAAUCAUCCAUCCAUCGCGCGGUGGUGGCUCAGAUCUCAGCGUGGGCUCGGCGCGGUAGCCGCACCGCACCGCACCCCACCCCACGAGCCAACGGAUCCCAAAACCCCCACCCCACCAAGCUCGCCGCGGCGGCUGCUCCUCCACUAGGGGGGAGCAUCCCAAGCCACAGCGUCGCCGCGCGGAGGCAGGGGUAGCACCGGUGGAUCGGGGGGCCGAUGCCGCCGCCGCCGCAUCAGUCCUCAUCACCACCAUUCCCACAAGGUCUAAGGGUUCGAUCGAUCGAUCCAUGCCAUGCAUGAUGAUGCAUAGGCCACCACGGGUGCGGCGAGCAGCGUCGCUCGGCUCGCGGUUAGUCAGCUCUCUGCCACCCACCCGCCGCGGCGGCCUAGCGAUUAGAGGAGAAGAGUGAGAUUGGGAGUGGUGGUGGGGGAGAAGGAAGAGGAGACGAGACAGACGAGUCCGAUAGGAAAAAGUACACCGAAGGUCCCUCAACUUGUCAUCGAGCUACAAAAUCGUCCUUGAACCGCAAACUAGAGCUCAAGCUAGCGUUAGCAGCGAACUUUGCAAAAUCGAGACCGAAAGUCCAAAAUAGCCAUUCAUCACUGACAGGAGCUCAUGCCAUGGCACAGAUGCCACAUCAGACAAUACCAACCUACGGUUCCUGGCCCCCAUCACCGAGGAACGGCCAUGGAUGAGCAUCCAGGCAACCGCACGCAUGGUGGAGGCGGCUCCGAAGUGUCAAAAUAGUGGCAAAUAGAUAAAUUUCCCCAUGAUUUCUGCUUGCCCUUAUAGCUCAGUUUGUAGAGCGUCAAACUGAUACACGCAAUGAGGAGAGGAUCAUAGGAGAGAUUGGAAGGAAGAGAAGGCGGCGGCGGCGACGACGGCGAAUGGCAUUACAUCGAAUGCCAGUUAAAGUGAUGCCAUUCCAGCGAAUCCACUCUUUUGCAAUGGUAGAUAUGCAAUUUUCUCGCCACAUUUCCAACAAAGAUCCCGAGAUAGAUGUGGCUUAUAGUCUGUACUAUUAUACUUGCUCUAAUCUACGAUUCCCGGCCCCCACCACGGCCGCACAGCCAUGGACGAGCAUCCAAGCAGCCACGCGCGAGCGUGGGUGGAGGCGGCACCGAAGAAAAUCCCUUGAACACAAGUGAGUUGCCACUUUGUUCAUAGAGGGGGUGUGUGUGUGUGAGAGAGAGAGAGAGAGAUGAGAUUACGGAUCUGUAGUUAUAAUGGCAUUGGAUCCAAUUAACCCACAGUUAAAUUUCCCCCUUGUUCUUGUGGGGAAAUCUUGACAUUGUGCCAUUGUCAAAAAUGGGUUCAAAAGGAGAGGGGAGCAGAGCAGAGAGACUGAAACAAAUCAGAAAUCUUAUGUGCAAACUGUGCAAUUAGGCUCAACAAGAUUCGUCUCGUGAUUUCCAUGGUAAUGGUGAAGGCGAGCACACCAAACCAAAAACCAAAUCAAAAGCGCAACUGAAACAAACGUACGAAUCAUCCAUUCAUCGCCCGCGGUGGUGGCUCAGAUCUCCCCGUGGCUGCCCCGCCGCGGCACUCCGACCCCAACGACCCAACGGAUCCCAAACCCCCCACCCAUCGAGCUCGCCACGGUGCCUGCUUCUCCACCAGGGGGGAGCAUCCCAAGCCGCAGCGUCGCUGCGCGGAGGCAGGGGUAGCACCGGUGGAUCGGGGGGCGGGGGCAGCGGCGCCGGCGCCGCAUCCGUCCUCAUCGCCACCUUCCCCACAACACAAGGUCCCAGGUUCGAUCGAUCGAUCCAUGUCAUGUCAUGCAUGAUGAUGCAUAGGCCACCGCAGGCGCGGCGGGCGGCGUCGCUCUGCCCUGCUAGGCUCGGCUAGUCAGCUCUCCGCCGCCGCCGCCCACCGGCCACGGCGGCCUAGGGAUUAUAGAGAAGAGUGAGGUUGGGGGAGAAGAGAAGAGGGAAGAGGAGACGAGACGAGUCUCCGAAGAGAGAAAUUUGCGAUUAAGGCCGUGUUUAGUUCCCGGAAUAAUUAACUAUUUGCCACUGAUAACAGAUUUGCCACUGAGCUCAAGCCAGCAGUACCAGCGAACUUCGCAAAAUCGAGACCGAAAGUCCAAAAUAGCCAUUCAUCACUGACAUGAGCUCAGGCCUCAAGGUCCGACGACCAAACCCUACCGUCACCAUGGCACUGAUGCCACACCAGACAAUACCAACCUACGGUUCCCGGCCCCCAACGCCGCCGCACGGCCAUGGAUGAGCAUCCAGGCAACCAGCCGCAUGGUGGAGGCGGCCCCGAAGUGUCGAAGAGUAGCAAAUACUCCAGUUACAAUGGCAUGGAUCCAAUGGCAAAUAGUUAAAUUUCCCCAUAAUUUCUGCUUGCCCUUAUAGCUCAGUUUGUAGAGCGUCAAACUGAUACACGCAAGCGUACACAGUGAAGAGAAGAUCAGAGGAGAGAUUGGAAGGAGGAGAAGAAGGCGGCGGCGGCGGCGAAUGGCAUUACAUCGAAUGCCAGUUAAAAGUGAUGCCAUUCUAGCGAGUAGAUAUGCAAUUUUCUCGCCAGAUUUGGCUGAUAGCCUGCUGUACUAUUAUACUUGCUCUAAUCUACGGUUCCCUGCCCCCAGCACCACCCGCAUAGCCAUGGAUGAGCAUCCAAGCAGCCACGCGCGAGCGUGGGUGGAGGCGGCCCCGAAGAAGAUCCCUUGAACACAAGUGAGUUGCCACUUUGUUCAGAGAGGAUGUUUUGUGUGUGUGUAAGAGAGAGAGAUUUGACAAUGAGAGAGAGAGAGAGAGAGAGAUCUGCCAAAUAGUGGCAAAUAGUUAAAAUUCCCCCUUGCCUGUUCUUGUGUGGAGAAAUCUUGGCAUGGUGCCAUUGUCAAAAAUGGGUUCAGGAGAGGAGAGCAGAGGAGAGGAGAGACUGAAACAAAUCAGAAAUAUGGUGAUGGCGAGCACACCAAAUCAAAAGCGCAACUGAAACAAACUUACGAAUCAUCCAUCCAUCGCCGCGGUGGUGGCUCAGAUCUCAGCGUGGGCUCGGCGCGGUCGCCGCACCGCACCCCACCCCACCCCACGACCCAACGGAUCCCAAAACCCCCCACCACCGAGCUCGCCGCGGCGGCUGCUCCACCACCAAGGGGGGGGAGCAUCCCAAGCCGCAGCGUCGCCGCACGGAGGAAGGGGGUAGCACCGGUGGAUCGGGGGGUGCCGAUACCGCCGCCGCCGCAUCCGUCCUCAUCGCCACCUUCCCCACAAACAGAAGGUCCCAGGUUCGAUCCAUCGAUCCAUGCCAUGCCAUGCAUGAUGAUGCAUAGGCCACCGCAGGCGCGGCGAGCGGCGUCGCUCUCUGCUGAUCUGCUCGGCUCGGCUAGUCAGCUCUCCGCCGCCGUCCACCGGCAGCGGCGGCCUAGGGAUUGUAGAGGAGAAGAGUGAGGUUGGGGGAGAAGAGAAGAGGGAGUAGGAGACGAGACGGAGAGAAAUUUUAGCGUGAAACUAAACACAGCCUUACACCGGGGUCGCCGGCAGAGAGAAGUUUUUGUACGGGAAAACUCGGGAAGGGAAGGGAAGAUACCUGUACACGAUGGGAGCGGUGCACGUGGCGAGCGGAGAGGGCAUGUGGGAGAGGAAUCCCAGGCGGUGGCCCAUCUGGGCUGGUGGUUCAGCCUGUUGGGCCGCUUGUGGCCUCAAAACGAGCCCAUGAAUGCGUUGGAUCAAAACAAGCUAUGCAUUUUCCCGAGGAAAAAAGUACAGCGAAGGUCCCUCAACUUAUCAUCUGGGCCGGUGGUCCAGCCUGUUGGGCCGCUUGUGGGCUCAAAGCCAAAUCAUGACCGCGUUGGAUCAAAACUCAAAGCAUUAGCUUUGCAUUUUCCCGAGACUACGGGCCUGUUUACGGGCCUGUUUGGUACAGCUCCAACUCCUAGAUAUAACUCUAGGAGUUGAGUCUGAAGUAGAGUUAUGAGCUACCUAAACCAAGCUCCACAGCUCUAGUACAUUUUUUUGUGAGAGAGCUCCAACCAACUCCACUCCUAGUUUUAGUGGAGCUGAAAUUAUUUGGCUGAGCUCCAGCUCCAGAGGGGUGGAGUUAGAGCUGGAGCUGUGCCAAACAGGCCGUAAUGUGCCCAUGCGUUGCAACGGCCCGUAAUGUGCCCAUGCGUUGCAACAGAAUCUGGAGUAAUGCGGGAUCUGCACGCAGACACGCAGUAGGAGGGAGGAGGAACACUGCAACUUUAAAUUAGUAGAGAAAAAAAUACAUAAGAUUGAGUAACACUGCAAAUUCGCAUGUAUUGGUUGAAAACAAUGGAAUUUGAUUAAAUCUGGAGCAAAAGGUUUUAACAAAUUCGAAACUGUACGGUUUCAACAAAUUUUCAGCCGGAUUGCCCACAAGAAAAGUAAGCUUAAAAUUUUAAGGGCAAGAAAAAAUAUGAGUUUGCGCACAACUGCAAAAUAUUACUCCCUCCAUCCCUUAAUACAAGGGAUUUUGAUAUUUUGUUGUCCUGUUUAUGCACACGUCUUAUUUAAAAAAAUUGUGCAAAUAUAAAAAACAAAAAGUUGUGCUUUAGAUAAUAAAGUAAGUCACAAAUAAAAUUCCAAAACUUUUUGAAUUAGACGAAUUGUCAAACAGUGCAAGCAAAAAUAUCAAAAUACCUUAUAUUAAGUGACGGAGGGAGUAGUACACAUGUUAAUUGAAAACAAUGAAAUUUGAGCAGAUCUGAAACAAAAGAUUUCAGCAAAUUCGAAACUUGCUGUUUGAAAAUAUUUCCAACCGUAAUUAUUUGAGAAUCACACGAGCGGCAGGCACACUGUAGAAUUUACAAGAGAAACGAGUCGCUGAAUAAAAAAGUAGUGAAAGUGCAAUAUAAAUCAUCGAAGACAUUCAAGCUUCAAGCCCAGCAAAAUUAGAUCAGAACAUAAAAAUUCAGACGAUAAAUAGAUGAGUUUUCCCAUCGAAUUGUUGACAACGACAACAGAUGACACAAUUUUUCAGGCCAUCAAUCAGUGACAAAAAAAAAUAACAAAACAAAAAAGAGGGUUGUCUGAAAGAACAGAAAAUAAAUAUGCCUUCUGGAGCAUUUCCCAAAAGUACCAGCAGGCAAAUAGUACAACUUUCAGACAAGCAAGUGCAACAAACAAACAACGAGGAAAUCAAUAUACACUAGAAAUUUAAAUUAGAAAAUCUUUACGGAAUGGCUCAGAUUUCACCCCCAUUAUGAAUCACCAAAGUUGGAUCAUGCCACUGUAGCAGAACAAUGCAAUAGAAUCUGUCUCAAUCUCUCUCUAUAUAUAUAUAUAUAUAUCUAUGUGCAUGAACCAUCUAAUGGGAUUGGCAUGUUCAUGAUAGAAUUAGAUCAUAGAAGUAAUAAAAACCUCAGUCCGCCACCACCACCGCCACCGCCAGCAAAUAGCCGCAAACUGGUAACCUGCCGCAAAGCAAGCCCUCCUAGUUUGGCGACCAGCUGAUCAAUUUAGCAAGGAACCAACUCAGGAGGUGUUAAUAGAUCUCCCAACACCGACAAAGGGGCAGCCAAAUUCAUCACAGCCAUUCAACAGGUAACAUAGAAAGGAAAUGCAACAAAACAAAAGGUAAAGUGUUUUGCUGAGAAAUCAAUUUGAAGCACUGCAUUAGUGUCAACAAAAGGAACUGUUGCCAUUUGUUCACCCAGGUUAUCACAGCAUAUACCAAAAAUACAUGAACUAAGUUCAAACAAGGCAUUAUAUGGUCCCUUUAUCCAUGACCAAAUGCUGAUUUCCAUAGCACGCAAACAAAUCAAACAUGUGAUGUAGGGCAAUUGUAACACUAUUACACAAAGAUGUGAAGCCAACCUUCAGUAAAUGCUAAAAGGAAAUAAAGCAAGAAAUCCAAAACAAUUCAAUUUCACACAGGUCAACAGAUACAAUCAGAACUAGAAGGGAACAAAUGAUUCAGAGCUCCCAUUCAAAAAAUCACCAUGGCAGAGUGAGCUCAGUUUCACCUUUCCUCCAUCGUACAAAACCCGAUUUUCACAUCUCUUGCUGCACAAUCUACUCAUACUAAUGUAAGUGUAGCUGCACUGGUUAUCACUCGUCAGUCAUCAGAGUGACCAUCCUAGGCACAGAAUCACUAACAUUAGUGGAUGGUUGAACAUCAUUGCCCCUCAUCCACAUUCCCACAUUCCAUUCCAUGUUUCCAACAUUCUGGAGGUUUCAGAAUCCCACAAGGAACACAGGCAGCAGAACACACCAUAUGUAGAGAUGAGCAAGAGGAGAUUACAGUGGUGACAGCAGGAGUAGCAACUAGUAAAUCAAAACCAUCAGCACCAUACCAAUCCAUCCAUCAGAUUUUAAGAUCAGAUCAGAUCAGAUCUCGCAACUACCCGCUAAAUCCUGACACGGAAGCCACACCAGACUCCACCGUGGAUUCCCAGCCUUUGCUGCUAUGAAUCCAAGGCAAUGGAGCAGCAGAGGCGGCACCCUGGAGGUGAGAACUGACACAGAGACCGGUUGGAAGUAGGGCUGUCAAAACUCAGCUGGAGCUCAAAACAAAUACUCUUGGAGAAGAGUAUUUCAGCGCAGAAGCGCUAAUUUAGUUUAUGAUUUUGGGUUUGGAUGGCGUGAACCUUCUCUUCUAGAUCUAGAAGUUGUUUUUCUCCUCAGUACUAAUAACACAGUUUAUUCCCCAAAAAUAAUCAUGGACGAGGGAUGAAAAAGUGCAUGUGAACACGUACUGUAUGGGUGCUCACCUGCGAGCGAGCGAGGAUUCAGCGGAAGGAAGCAGCGGGAUACCAGAACAGCUGCUCAUGGGGUGGAGAUCACCGCUAGCCAUGUACCUGUAGUCCUUUACGGCGGGAGCAUGCACGUGGCAAUUGCACAGGGCUCGUGAGAGUCACCAUCCAAUGUCCCCCGUGUCCACAGAUGAGUGGCUCACUGAUCAUCUGGGCAAAUGAUUAAGAGUUCUCAUUCAAACAAUUCACCAUGGAAGUGAGUGAUAGGCAGCAUUAAGUACUCAAUACUCAUUAACUUCAGCUUUAAAUCAGCAUGUAGCUAAUUUUCCAACACAGCAAACUGACCACUUGUAAGUUGGCAAUUAGCUUCAAAAAAUAACAGAGAAGUGCUAUGUUAAAUUUACCAGCACAGUAGCAAUAUGAAUAGUGUAAUGGCAUUGAACGGGCUCAGUUUCGCCUUUCCUCCUCAAACCUCGUGCUCCACAAUCUACUCAUACUAAUAUAAGUGGAGCUGCACUGCUUGUCACUCAUCAGUCAUCGGAGUGACCAUCCUAGGCACAGAACCACUAAGAGCAGGUACAAUAGCAGACUAUAAGCCAACUAUAAACGCAUAUCGAGAAGAUAAAUGAGGAGAGAUAAGAGCAGCGGGCAACAGAUUUGUAGCCAGCUGCAGCACAGACUAGGUGUAAUAUAUGUAUGACAGGUGGGACCAUGUAUUACUUGUGUAGGAGUAUAAGUUUAUAGGUAACUGUUGUAUAAAUUGGCUAUUAAAUUGACUAUAUACUAUUUGGAGCUAGUAGUUGGCUAUACUAUUAAACUUGCUCUAACACUAGUGAAUGGUUGAACUGACUCCAAGAGAGGUGAGAGUUGGUUCUUUAAAACCACAACUGCCUCAGAAAAGGUUUAACAUCAUCACCAUCAUCAUUGCAUUCCGUUGGAACAAGACCAAGUCCAUUGUAACAGGGAAGUGAAGAAGAAAAUGCUGGCAUAGACACACUAUUCACAUAGAAAAGGUACUCCAUCCGUCCCAAAAAAUAAGGUACUUUGACCGGAUGUGACACAUCCUAGUAACAAGGGUUCCUUUGGAACACAGGAUUUUCCCAUGAAUUAGUUCAAUACCCGUGAAAAUCCUACAAAAAUCCGCCAUUAUAUAGGAGGCCUAAUUGGGCUCAGAUUCGCCUUUACUCAACCGUAAAGAUCCAACAGCCACAUAUCUUGCUCCACCAUCUAUCCAUCAUAAUGUAAGUGGAUUUGCCCUGGUUAUCAUUAACAGAAUGACCAUCCUAGGUGCAAGAACCACCUAACAUUAGUGAGUGGAUAGGUUGCCAGAGAUGAUAGGAUCAGGUCCAAUUGACACCCACAGCUGCCUUGAUUCUUCAAUGGCAGGAUUGUCAGAAAAGGUUGAUCAUCAUUGCCCUUCAUCCACAUUCCUUUCCAUGUUUCCAACAUUCUAGAGACACACAGAUGAGAAAACCAUACAUAUAUACUCCCUCCAUUCCAAAAUAUAAGCAGAAUGUACGUACAUUGCCAACGAGAUCAGCUCGCAAGCUCUCUCUCGCGCGCAAGCGCGCAGCGAGAGUGAGGGGGGAUGGCAGUGUAUAGAGCAAAAUGGUGACUAAAGAGUGAAAAAUCCAUAACAGCGGCUCAGAUUUCACAUUGCCCGACCAGCCCCAGGCAGGAAACUGACACGGAAUAAGUCUAUUUUAUGUCCCUCAACUGAUGUAAAUGGAUCUGCCUGGUUAUCAUUUAUCAGAAUGACCAUCCUAGGUGCAAGAACCACCUAACAUUAGCAGGUGAAUAUGUUACAGAAGGGCAGAUUUGGUUUAGGGUUUGGAGUUUGCGUAUAGCGAACUGUGAUCACGCAUGCACAGAUCUAGAGAAGUUAAAGGUUAAGGCAAAGAGAGAAAGGUGUGGGUACAGAGGGAUGACAGAGGAUGCACGUAUGGAUGCUCACCAGCGAGUAUGCAGCAGUACUAUGGCACCACUGCUCACGGGAUGGAGAUCAGGGACCAGGGGCGCCAUGGACCUCAGGCAGCGAGGGAGCUCCCAAUGGCUGUCAAAUGUUCUUGCCGCGAUUUCCGGCAACAUACCAUGGCACUCCCAACAUCAAGCCUAGGCACGCAGACACCCCAUCCCCCCCCCUCCUCGACCUGUGAGCAGGAGGUGUCUCCACCACACGAGGGUAGCAACCAGCAGCAGCAGCAGCAACAACAGUAUAUAUCAGAUCAUCACAGCAACAGCAGCUGAAUGCCAAGGAGAGCUCAAGCCAGUGGAAACAGCGAGCUUCACAAAUUCGAGAUCGAAAGUCCAAACCAGCCAUUCAUCACUAAAAGGAGCUCAGGCCUCAGAAUUCUGACGACCAAACCCUACCCGUCACCACGGCAUCGAAGCCACAUCAGACACCACCAACCUACGGUUCCCGGCCCCCAACACCGCCGAACGGGCCAUGGAUGAGCAUCCUGGCAGCCAUGAGCGUGCCAAAGGCGGCCCCAAAGAUCCCUUGAACACAUGUGAGUGAGUUGCCACUUUGUCAAAGGGGGUGUUGCGAGAUAGACAUAUUACAGUUCUGUCAAAGAGUGGCAGAUAGUUACAAUGGCAUGGAUCCAAUAGCAAAUAGUUAAAUUUCCCCUUAUUUUCUGCUUGCCCUUAUAGCUCAGUUUGCAGUAGUGCGUCGAACUGUACACGCACGCCCGCGAGAGAACACAGUAAGGAGAGGAGAGAAUGGAAGGAGGAGAAGGGGUGGUGUUGGUGGUGGCGGCGGCGGAGGAGGAUGGCAUUCUGCAUUCCCAGGUUUCCAACGAAUCCACUCUUUUCUGAUGGUAGAUGUGCAAUUUUCUCGCCACGUUUCCAACAAGGUUGAGACAGAUGUGGCUUAUAGACAUUAGUUGGCUGUACUAUUAAACUUGCUCUAAUCUUCGGUUCCCUGCCCCCACCACCGCCUGCACAGCCAUGGAUGAGCAUCCAAGCAGCCAUACGGGCAUGGCGGAGGAGGCGGCCCCGAAUAAGAUCCCUUGGAACACAAGUGAGUUGCCACUUUGUUCAGAGAGGGUGUUGUGAGAGAGAAAGAUGAGAUUACGGAUAUAUCAAACAGUGGCAAGUAGUUAUAAUUUGCAAUUGAUCCAAUUAACCCAUAGUUUUUUUUCCCCAGUGCUCUUCUCUUCUAGCUCAGCGUGUGUAGAGCGUGGAACUGUACACACACGCAAGCGUACACUGCGAGGAGAGGAGAGGAGAAACUGGAAGGAGGAGAAAAUGCAACUGAAACAAAUCGAAAUCUGGUGAUGGUGAUGGCAAGCAUACCAAACCAAAUCAAAACUGCAACUGAAACAAACACGUACGAAUCCUCCAUUGCCGCGGUGGUGGCUCAGAUCUCGCCGUGGCAGCGAGGCCACCCGCCACUCCAACGACGGGAGGCCGCACCGCGCCCCCACGACCAACGGAUCCCUAACCCGCACCAACCCGCACCACCGCCGGAUCCGCUGCGGCGGCGGCUCCAGGGGGAACAUCCCAAGCCGGCCGCAGCAUCGCCGCGCGGAGGUAGGGGUAGCACCGGUGGAUGGAUCGGGGGGAUGCAAGAUGGGGGAUGAGUUGUAUCUGGUUUUGCGGUUCAAGGACGAUUUUGUAACUCGAUGACAAGUUGAGGGACCUUCGGUGUACUUUUUCCUUUCCCGAGACAAGUACUGUCCCAUGCGUUGCAACGGGAUCUGGAGUAAUGCGGGAUCUGCCCGCAGACACGCAGUAGGAAACGGAGGUAGACUGCGUCUUUAAAUUAUUAGAGAAAAAAAACAUAAGAUUGGGUAACACUGCAAAUUCGCAUGUAUUAAUUAAAAACAAUGAAAUUUGAUUAAAUCUGAAGCAAAAGGUUUUAACAAAUUUAAAACAGUACGGUUUCAACAAAAAUUUCAGCCGGAUUGCCCGCGAAAAAAAUAAGCUUAAAAUUUUCAGGGCACGUAAGAAACAUGAGUUUGCACAACUGCAAUAUAGUGCACUUGUUAAUAAAAAACAAUGAAAUUUGAUCAGAUCUAAAACAAAAGCUUUUCUCAAAUUCGAAACUAUGGGGUUUGAACAAAUUUUCAACCGUAACUAUUUGAGAAUCGCACUAGGGGCAGGCACACUGUAGAAUUUACAAGAGAAAACGAGAUGCUGAAGAAAAAAAGUAGGUAGGGAAAGUACAGUACAAAUCACCGAAGCCACUGAAGCCAGAACCACGCUGCAGGCCUGCAAUGGCUGCUUGGCUAUCGCUCAAGCUUCAAGCCCAACAAUAUUAGAUCAGAACAUAAAAAUUUAGACAAGAUAAAUAGAUGAGUUUUCCCAUCGAAUUGUUGACAACGACAACAGAUGACACAACUUUCCCGACCGUUUUCAUCCCCACUAUAGUUCGAUUCCCAUGAAAAUGCUCCAAAAAUAUCCUCCUUUGAAACACAGGAUAUUCACAGAAAAUAGUUCAAUUCCCGUGAAAAUGCUCCAAAAAAAUCCUCCACUCCAAAAGAGGCCUAAGUGGGCUCAGAUUUGCCUUUGAUCAAUCAUACAGACCCAACCCCUAUAUAUCUUGCUCCACAAUCUACUCAUCCUAAUGUAAGUGGACCUUCCUUGGUUAUCAUUAACAGAAUGACCAUCCUAGGUGCAAGAACCACCUAACAUUAGUGAGUGAAUAGGUCACAAGAGAUGAUAGGAUCAAGUCUAAUUGACACCCUCAGCUGCCUUGAUUUUUCAAAGGCAUGCUUGUCAGAAAAGGCUGAUCAUCAUCGCCCCUCAUCCACACUCUCACAUUCCAUUCCAUGUUUCCAACAUUCUGGAGAAGUUGGUCCAGGUACUUUGGCAUCAGAUGGCCACCUUGAAUGUCCAACAGCAAGCAUGCUUUUGUGAUCAUCACUGCUCAUUACCACAAUACGAAGUGAACUGGAAAUUAUUGUAAUAUUGCACAUCUGCCAGGAAUUCUGACCCAAGUUUAAGAAUCCCCAGAGGAACACAGGCAGCAGAGCACACUAUAUACAGAGACGAGCAAGAGGAGAUUGUGUCGGCCACAACAGCAAGCGCAAUAGCAGGAGCAACUAGCAAAUAAAAUCCAUCACCACCACACAUCCAUCCAUCCAUCCAUCAGAUAUUCAGAGAUCAGAUCAGAUCGCGCAUCUACCCACCAAAUCCCGACGCGGAAGCCGCAUCAGACUCCACUGAAGGUUCCCAGCCUUGGCUGCUACGAAUCCAAGGCAAUGGAGCAGCAGAGGCAGCACCAUACAGGUGGGGAACUGAUGCAGAGACCGGUUGGAACUUGGAAGUAGGGCAGUCAAAGCUCAGCUCGAGCUCAAAACACACACCCAUGAAGAUAGUACUUCCUCCGUUUCACAAUGUAAGUCAUUCUAGUAUUUCCCACAUGCAUAUUGAUGUUAAUGAAUCUAGAUAGAUAUAUAUGUCUAGAUUCAUCAACAUCAAUAUGAAUGUGGGAAAUACUAAAAUGACUUGCAUUGUGAAACGGAGGGAGUAGUAGUUAGCUAUACUAUUAAACUUGCUCUAAGCAGAGUAAGUAGUACCAGCUUUCUCUCUCACGCAAGCACGCGGAGAAAGAGAGGGAGGAGAAAGAGGGGUAGCAAUGUGCAACAAAAUGGCGACUAAAUCAAUCCUACUUAAAAUGUUUACCCACAAUAUUAUCACGCCACCCUCCAAAGAGCCCUUUCCAUUUCACCGUUGGUUCUUUUGAAUUUCGAAAUCACCUACUUGUUCAAUAAGGAAAAUCAUCAUAGAAGUAUUGCUGUGCUUAUACUAAAUAAGCUAGAAACUCAAUUUGUUUUUUUUUUCCAUUGCAACGCACGGGCUAGUGAAAAAUCCAACAAUUGCGGCUCAGAUUUUGCGUUGCUCGGCCAACCCUGGGCAGGAAGCCAACGCGGAUACCGCCACGCACGGUCCCCAUCCUCCACCGCCGCAGGCGCCGCGACAUCGGCAGCUGCCAAAGCAGUGGCCUCCAGACCAAUGCCGCACGGCGUGCGCGACGCGGCUGGGGAUUGGCCCCCGAAAAGCGGAAAUCCGAGGCGGCCGCCACCGAUCAGGAGAGGCGCCGGAGCUAAACCGGCCUCAUUCCUCAUCGCCGCGGGGAAUUCAGGGUGUGUUUAGAUCCAGGGGUGUAAACUAUUUGCAACUCUUCAAACGAGCCGCGGUUUUUUGGAGCGAAUGCCAUCAUCAGCCACCGCUAGCGGAGAUGAAAUGGCCGAUGUUGCAAUCGCCUCGCGACUCGCUGAGCAUGGGGUUCAGCUGAACUUGAACCCCCACAUUUUGGGGGAAAUAAAAUGUGACAAAAGGCAGUUUCCAGAUCUAGAAGAGAAGCUAGGGUUAACGCAAGCAAAUUCCAGACAAAGUACAGAUACUGGCCAGCGAGCGAGGAUGCUCGCGGGAUGGAUGGAGAUCGGCGCAGGCAAUGUACAGUAAAAUGGCGACCAAAUGGUGGGGGAAAACCAUCAAUGGCGGUCAGAUUUCGUUGCCCGGGCCAAGCCCCCGAGCAGGAAGCCGACGCACGGGGUCCCCCAUCCCCCGCCGCCGCAUGCGCCCGCGGCAUCUGCGGCUGCCGAAGCGGUGGCCUCCGUGCCAACGCCGGCGAGGCGCAGCUCGGCGGGGGGGAUGGCGGAGAUCCGAGGCGGCCGCCGCUGCUCGGGAGACUCGCCGGAAGCAACGGCAUCUUCCUCCUCCUCCUCGUCGUCGUCAUCGUCGUGGUUGGUUUCCGGCGAUGCAGAAACCCUUCCAUUGCUCCACCACCACCCAAGCAGCAAAAUCGCAACAAAAACUGAAUGGUUUGAAAUAAGAUCAGGAGGGAGGGAAAGAGCGAGAAACCAAUCCGACUCUGGAUGGAUUCAUGGAUUUUCCAGUCUCCAGUAUCCACCCCUUCACCGUCUCAGUUCUCGCUAGAGGCGGAGGACGAGACGAGAGGAGAGGAGAGAACUGAGAAGAACCCAGCCGAGUUUUUUUUUUUUUUUUGAGAGAACGGGCCGAGUUCGGCGGUGGGGAAUGGGGAUGGGGAUGGAGAUGGGGAGAUCGAUGGAGGGAAAUAAAUGGGGACGGAAAGAUCGGUCUCGGCGACUCGGCCCAUCCAAACACUGUCCGUGCACGUCCGGUGUACACGUGUGCGGUGUGCCUAUGCUUCGAUGGACAAUACGGGGGAUAAGCGGCGUUGGCAUGUCACAUCUGAUAUUAUAUAUAUUAUAUAGAGUAUUGUAUGGUUGUUUGGGUAUUAAUAAAAAACUAAUUACAUAAUCCAUCAGUAAACCGUGAGAUGAUUUUAUUAAGCUUAAUUAAUACGUCAUUAGCAAAUGUUUACUAUAGCACAACAUUAUUAAAUCAUGGAGCAAUUAGGCUUAAAAGAUCCAUCUCUCAAACUAGUCGCAAUCUGUGUAAUUAGUUAUUUUUUUAGCCUAUAUUUAAUACUUCAUGCAUGUGUUAAAUGUUUGAUGUGACAGCAUGUAAAAUUUUGGAGUGGGAUCUAAACACCCCCUAUGUCAGGCGUGUGUGGAGAAAGAAUGCAUUCAUGUAGUGCAUGUCCAUGUGCGCUAUUUUGAAAAAGGUUUAUGUGGUUUAUGUAGAUGUUGGGUUUAAUCAAUAAAUAACCUUGCCAUAUGUCCGACUUAUUUAUUCAACCGGUAUACGACUAAACGGUAGAACAGCUCGGCGCAUGACGGCGUGAGGCAACAGCAUGGGUUGGUCCUAGAUCGAUGGCAUGCACUUGCAUGCAUUACGGUCGUACAAGAGUCGGACAUAAUAGUCUUGGGUAUAGCAUUUUUCUUUAAUCGAUCCAUUAUAUAGGAUAAAACAAAAAAAAAUCGAAGCAAUGUAGUAAUACGUGCAAUAAUAUUCAAGUGAAUGUAUUGCCCCCAAAUUCACGGUUUGCUGAAGAUACCACACGCAUCGCCCCAGCAUGCAAUACAUGCAAGACGCCUUGCAUGUGAGGUUAGAGUCACGCUACAAACAACGUGUUGAACUGUGUGAUCAGGUCUGGCAUAGAAAAGAUAUAUUCAACAUCUUUAGUAAAAGUAAUCAAAAUGGUCGGUGUUCCUUUUUUCUUAAAAAAACAACAUUUACAGGAUAGUGCGAUGUUUCGUAUCAAUGUAGCAGUAACAAGACUACAAGUCUACAGCCCUAAGAGGCUAUGGCCAGGAAAGAAAAAACACACAGUCACACCACGCAUCUACGACCAAAAUCCACCACCGAAGAUCAAAGCAAACUACGAUAUCCCAAAGGGAAUGGAUAUUCUAAAUGGCGUAUUCAGGAAGAAUGUGGCACCGAGAGUGCUCCCACCACCUGCUCUGAGAUGACAGGACGUGGUUUUCACCUAAAUAAAUCCAUCACAUGACACGAACUUCAAGCAAACAACACUCCCAAAUAGGAAAAGUGAUGCCUGCAGUCGUCGCCGUUGCUAGCCCAAAGGGCUGUGCUUUCACUUGUGAUCUUUCUGUCCUCUUAUGUCAAGGUUAUCUGCCAAAAACAGUGGCCACCACCAACUACACCUUUGAUGUGUAGCCAAUGUGCCAGCCGACCAUCAAGGAGGAGCUCAACAUUCGGCGCGCUCCAAGUCCAUACACAUAGUUGCGUUGGAUAUGAAGAGGGUGAGAGAAAAGAAUGGAUACCCUAUCCCCCACACUAGCCCGCCCCAACAAGGGCAUCUUGUGCCGUCACCACAAGAGGACUGUCAGCUAGAUCGGAGCUCGUCGGGGGCCUGCAACGCUCACCUUAAAGCACCACUGUCGUCGCUGCCUCGGCUGACUGCCUAUAUCACCGCCACCUUGGUCGGAUUGCCCGUAUCACCGCUACCUCAGACCGCCAGCCCACAUCGUCGUCACCUCGCCCCGCUGUCCCCUGUCGCCUUUGGUCUUGCCAUAGCACCGUCCAGCCUCGCACCCGUGUCGUGGCAGCUCUGUCUACCAUCGGCGCCAUGCAGUUCCCCUGUUGUGCCACCGGUCACGCGAACCACCGCACUGGUUCCCGUGGGUGGUCGCGCAUGGCUUGCUCCCGCUGCAACCUCCAUGCUACAUCGGCCUCUCGCCUUUGCCGACUGCGCACUACACCACGUCGGCCUCCCACCACCGCCAGCCAUGUCGCCCUUUCACCCCACCGCCCCGCUCGCCCAGAUCCAUCCCAAGGUGUCUGGAUCCCGCCACGGGGAGGUCUGAUCCAGUGGCGUCGCCCUCGGAUCCAUGGGCUCAAUCACCGGGGUGCACCGCGUUGGUUUAGUUUCCCUUCUUUUCUCGCGCGCUAGAGACCGAGCAUCACCGGGUUAUGGCCCUGCCACUGCCUUCCUAGCAGGCCGCCCGGUUUUUGGGUGGCAUGCUCCGACGACAGCGCAGAUGAGGAGGAGGGCGGGCGAUGGUUGGCUAGGGUUUUUCCCGUGUCACCCGCGCGUAGACGACGCGGGGAGAGUGUAACUUGGUAGUGUUCCCGAUUUAUCUUAGUUGUUGUUUGGAUCACCUUGAUUAAGGAUGAGUUUUCAUAAAAAUGGUUUGGAAUGAUCUUCUAGUAAACCAACUUUACUAACCAGAGGGGAAAAAAUGUAACAUGAGCAAAAUGUUGCUAAAAGCCUAAAAACAGGCAACCAAAUUGCCAUCUGAAUUCUCAAAUACGAAGAGACGUACACAUGGUACAAACAAAUAUAGAACCGGACAUCAGUCAGACUAAUUGAACUGCAUUUGCCCCAAACCCGAAACAACAAACUUGCUUAGAGAUCACCUAAGAAAGGCUAACACUAAACUUCGGUAUGAACUGUUCACUAUAACUGGCGUAAAACUCUACAAAAAUACGUCGCAAGUGCCACGCUCCAGCGUGUCUGCGUGUGUGCCCCAUGAAGCAAUAAUCCUAAAUCAUGUACAAAUUGCAGUAUUGCGCACAUGAAGCAUGCCAGCUUUGCAAUCACCAUGUCUGCAGAAACAAACAAAGCAAACAGAUACAAUCAUCAGGGCAAGCAACACGAAGAACACACAUCUUUAGCAGUGAUUUCCAGUGGAGGGGGAAGGUCGAUAAUUCGACGUGCUUACCACAACAUAGUACUACUGUCCUGUCGCAGCGCGAGCUUCGCUGUGUCCUUCCACAUGGACACCUCCAUCUCCUUCUCGACGAGCUUCUUCUCCGCGCGUUUCAGCGCGAGUUCCAGCUCUUCGAUCCGCUCCUGGUUCCUCUGAUGGAGGAGCUCGUGCAGCCUCCUCUCAAGCUCGACGGCAUUGACACCAUUGUAUUCAGCUUCAUCGUCGUAGUCUUCGUCCUCCACUACUUCAUCUUCUCUCCCAACAUCAUCAUUGAAUUCUUCCCGGCAUUCAGUGAUCUCAUCCGGUUGCUGAAUCGCAAUCAAACACAAAUUAGACGCAGCUCAAAUCAAUCUCACUGCAACAUUCUGUUCACAGAAGCAUACCUCUGCAUCAUGUUCUUCAGGCAAGAACAGCUGAACAUCUGAACCAUAGUUAACCUGGAGAAGAUCGAGCUCGGCAUGGAACUCCUCCUCGAGCACAUCCAUCCUCGGGAAGCAGCACUCGUACUCCUCCGCUGAUUUCUCGCAGCUCACUUCCUCCUCCUCCAUGUGGUUGGACGACGAGGUGGCCUGAUCCUCCAUCAUGCGCGCGCUCGCCCUCUCGUUCUCGUUCGUGUCCGUGAGGCAGCUCGACGCGGCGGACUCGAGGUUGCAGCGGGGUUUCGAUGCGUCGUCGUCACCAACCCCUCCGCUGCUGCUCUGCCUCACCUGCUCUUUGAUCUCUCUCAGCAGCGUCUCCAUCUCCGCGCGAACCUUCGCCAUCUUGUUGAACUCGUCGGAUGUCUUGGCGAGGAGGAACACCAGGCUCAGGCCAACGCCGAGGUCGGGAGUCCUCGUGUGGCUCUCGUUGUCGAACACUAAUUGCAAAGAAGAAAAAGGGGAGAAAUCAAUUGAAAUUACCUCCAGAAUCGCGUGAUUGCUACGUAUCAUUAUCUUUUGCUACCGAAAUUUCAGGGCUCUAUCCAGCCAAUACGAUCGCAAUCUCGCACAGGUAACGAAUCGAACAGCCAACGCGAGAUGAUUCGACGAGGAAAUCCCCAAAGAAACCCAAUAGAAACUGCGAUUUAUCGAACAGCGACGAGCUCGACCGAUGGCGCACCUGAGGUAGAGGCGACGGUGGCGGCGGCGGCGGCGGCGGCGACGGGCUCGCCGUUCUUCUCCACCGCAAUCUCCUCCUCCACCACCACCACCCCCUCCUUCUCCGCCUUCCCCUUCCUCCCAAUCCUACUCGCCGCCCGGGCCCACCUAAACCUCGGCAGCAGCGACCUCGCCGCCGCGAGCGCGGGGGACCGCGGCGUCACCGCCGGCGACCCCUCGAUCCCGAGCUCCUCGCCGUCGUUGAGGUAGUCCGCGAUCCUCCUCCUCCUCCUCACCACCUCGGAUGCCAUGGCGCGCGCGGCGCCCGAUGAGGCGAGCGAGCAGCGCAAAAGCAGAGGAGACAGAGAAGACGAAGCCAAGCCAAAGCGGGUUUUCAAAUUGGAGCGGGUGGCGUGGAUCGUGGUCGUCGUGGCGAGCUCACCGUGGGCCCCACCCGACAGCGAACUGGACCCCCGAUCCCGCCGUCCAUCCUCGAAUCGACGACGGCCACGAUGAGCCCGAUUAGAUGGGACGGCACCAUUAUUAGCUCUCCCCCUCCAGGGAAUCACACAUGAUAUCAUCGUUUAUAUUUAAAAAAAAUGGAAGAGAGGAUAUAUCUAUCGAUGAUUUUUAUAUUUCCGAGAUGGAAUUAUAUUCCCGGAAGAAAAGAUGGGGAUCAGGUUUGAUGAUUAUUUUUUUUUGUGUAGGUCCGGUGUUGCAAUUUGGUGAUUUGAAAUGCUGGGUAUUCUGAGGUUUCAGAUUUGUUUGUCUGUUCCAUUCCAAAUUUCCAUCCAUGACCCACCAUCCGACUCUAUUGGUAGGACCCCAGGCAUAGAAAUUUUCUGUCCAAGUUUACGAUGUCGCCGUGGUUUUAAAAUCUGAGUUUUAAAGAAAAAAAACAUAGUUGGCCAUAAUCCGGCGAAUUAUGGUUUGGCCAAUGGGAGUUGAUGGCUGGCAAAGCACGCAAGCUUGCUUGCUGGGAGGCUGCACGCGUCGUGUUUCCGGGGUCCCCUGCCACUGUCGAGCGCUGGAGGCGCCGAGGUGGAAGCAGGAGCCACGAAAACAUGGAGCCAUGUAGGCAUCUCCAUCACUUGCCUGACACACCAAGCGAAGGCCUGUUUAUGACAGUAGAAAAUGAACACUAGCUAGAAGCAAAAAGCGAGCAUUAGAGCAUCUCCAACAGAGUUGUCAUCUCACUCUCCAAUUUAAAUUUUGGUAAUUUUGAGCAAAAAACGGGCUCCAACAGACUUACUAAACGGCUGGCUAAACUCCUCCCCAGGCUGGCCAACUUUAGCCAGCUAGAGUUGCCUUGCCAAAUCGUGGGCCCCACGCUUUUUUCCCCAUCUCCUCUCUCCGCACUCGUGAGCACGCCACUGGCGGCCUGGCGCCGGCGCCAUCCCUGCUGCCGCCCGCCGCCGUCCCUACCGCCGUCCGCCGCCUCCGCCGCCGCCGUCGCCGCCACCGCCGCAAUCCCUACCGCCGUUCCCCUUCUCCUUUUGCAUCGGCCUCGGGGGAACUGGUGGCGCCGCCGCACCGCCGUUCGUCUUCACUCACAGCAGCGCCGCCGGUCCGCUGCUCUGCUCUCUCCGGUCUCCGCCACCCACCGCCUCCGUCUUCCCUUGGCCGAAGGCCACCGAAGCUGCCGUCGACGCCGACUUCAUCCUGCUCCGGGCCGCCACCGCGCCAAGCCGAGCGCCGCCCACGAGGCCGCCUCCCUCCCUAGCACGGGUCGCAGGCCCCGAAGCCGCCUCCUCACUCCGUCCCUGUCCGGCCGGGUCGCCACCUCGCCGUCGCCGUCAUUGUGCCGUGGCUGCCUCCGCCAACCGUCGCCCCGCAUCGACUCCUUCCGGCGCCCCCUUGCUCCCGCCUCCUCCGCAUCACCGCCCUCCACCGUCGCCGCGCCGACCGCCGCCCUGAUCCGACCGCCGUCGCCGUGCCCAUCGCCGCCUAGCGUGGCUCCCUCCCGGAGUCGGUAGGAGAGAAGGAGGAAGGGGAAUCGAGAGUGAGAGGAGGGGGAGAAAACGAGAAGAGAAAGAAAAGAAAAGAAGGGAAGGGAGAGAAUGACAUAUGGUACCCACUGUUAAAUUGGAUAUUGAAAUGGAGAGACUGUUGGAGUGAAACUCAAAUUUGGCUCUCUAAAUUUUUGGCAAUUUGCUAAAUAGGAUAUUUGGAGAGCAAAAAUAGCCAUGCUGUUGGAGAUGCUUUUAGAGCUUGUUUAGAGCAUCUCCAACAGUCUCUCCAAAACUAACUCUCCAAAUAUCUAUUUGGCCAACUCUCCAUCUAAUUUAGCCAGUCAAACUCUUAUUUACUCCAACAACCUCUCCAUUCAUCCUCUCUAUUCUAAGCCUAUGACAGUGGGACCCACGUGUCAGUCUCUACAACCAUUUCUUCCUCCUCAUCUUUUUCCCCCUUUUCCCAAGCCCCUCCGCUCAGCUCGCAGCAGGUGAGAGUUGGUCCUCUCCGCCGCCGCCGCCCCAUCCCCAUCCGCCGCCACCGCCGCUCGGGCUGACCUCGGAGACGACGGUAGCGGACGGCAACCUCGGCUGGCGAUGGAUCUGGCGACUAUGCUGGCGACAGCGUCGUCGACGGCUGGCGACGGCGCGGAUGACGGCGACGACGGCGGCGUCCGCCAACGGCCACCUCAGAGACGACGGCUGGCGACGGCGCGACGACGGCGGCACCCGGCAACAGCAGAUCUGGCGACAGCGCAACGACAACUGACGACGGUGACGGCGCUGGUGCCGACGGCGGCGGCGUCCGGCAACGAUGACUUCAACUGCAGCAAUGGCAUCUCGACGACGAUGGUAGCGGAGAGAGAAAGGGGGAGAGGAAUGCUGUCGGCGUGGGACCCACAAUUGGCUAGGCUAUUUUGGCUGGCCAAAUUUGGCCAGUGGGAGGAGGACUUUGGCCAGCCAGAUGGCUUGGCCAUCCGGAUAGCCAGUCUGUUGGAGGGUGAAAUUGAGCCAAAAUUGCCAAAAUUUAACUUGGUGAGGGGAAUAAGGAGGCUGUUGGAGAUGCUCUUAGUUGGCGAAAAGAAAUUGUUUUUAGUAUCACAUCGGAUGUUUGACCGAAUAUUGGAAGGGGUUUUCAUAUACGAAUGAAAAAACUAAAUUAAUUCGUCAUUAGCACAUACGGGUUACUAUAGCACUUAUGGCUAAUCAUGGACUAAUUAGGCUUGAAAAUCCGUCUCGUGAUUUCCCCCUAACUAUGCAAUUAGUUUUUUUAAAAUCUAUAUUUUAUGCUUCAUAUAUAUGUCCAAAUAUUUGAUGUGAUGUUUUUGGAAAAAAAAAUUUGGGAAGUAAACCAGGUCUUAGAUUUGUUAGCCGUAGUCAAAUUUUAAAUUUAUAGUUAUUUUGAUUUCUUUUAUUAUAGUUUAUUUAUGUAAGAGUAAAUUUCACAAAACUACCCAAUUUUGAUUAAAUUAUCCCAAAACUAUAAAUUUAGGAUUGUGUAUCACAAAACUACCUAUUUAAUACGAAAUUUAUUAUAGACCAAUAGAUUAAAGGUGGAGUAUCACAAAACUACAGAUUUAAUAACAAAUUUAUCAUAAAUUUAUAGGUUUAGUAUCAAUUUAAUCAAAAAAAAUUGUACAUUUAUAACUCAAACAUAACACUAACAAUAAGGAUUUAAGUCCCAAAAUCUAUAUUUUUGUGGUAAUUUUAUUAUAAAAUCUAUAAUAUUACUAUACUUAACCUUAAACUUCUAGUUUUGUGAUAAAUUUAUUACUAAAUCUAUAUAUUUUUAUACAUCACUUUAAAUAUAUAUGGUUUUACGAUAUUUCGGCUAUUGUAUUUGUAGUUUUGUGAAAUUUAUUUUUUUUAAGUUAUCCAUAAUUCAUGUAUAAAAGAUUUAUUUAUAAUUAUUUUUCUGUAAUAAGCAUUACGAGGUAUAAUCAUCUGUAGACGCAACCAUAUGACUAUACUUCUCUAAAAUCUUUAACUUGUCUUUUAAGCCGUGUUUAGUUGUAAAAUUUUUCUUCAAACUUUAAAUUUUUCUAUCACAUCAAAAUUUUUCUACACAUAUAAACUUCCAACUUUUCUGUCACAUCGUUCCAAUUUUAAUUAAACUUAUAAUUAUAAUUUUAGUGUGAACUAAACACAGCCUAAAUCUCAAGCUCCACGAACAAAUAGCAGGAUAAAAAUCAGGACCCCGGAGGCGAAUGAAGGAAUGAAUGCUGGAUAGGACGCAAAUAGUACGCAAUUAAUCGUCGUUAUCAUGAGAAGCCGGCCCAUUUGACCGCCCCUCUCCUUCCUCCGUCGGCAACUGUUGAUGCUCUUCUCUGCGUCAUCUCACUAACUCUUAAUUAAUCUUCAGACAAUUUUUUUUAAAAAAAACUUGUCUUUAUUGUUUAUAUUCUGUUUCGUGGUACUUGUACGACAGGAGGAGGAUUAGGCAUUAAGUAGCGAUAGUGGUACAGGACAAGAGCGUGGUGUCACUCGGCAGUGGAGGAGACGCUUCCUUCUUCUUGAUGGAUGCUGCUCAUCUUACUUAACGUUGAUGCUCCGUAUCAUGCUGCUAGAUUAAUUAGUAGUAUUACGAAUCAUUGCUCAUCAGUAUGGCGUCGAAAUGGCCUGCUACCCGCGGUUGUCGUCUUGCUGUUGCCGAUCGAGCUGCCGACCGCCGGCGGCCGGUCCUGCGGAAUAAGCUUCUGCUGCAAACGAACAGGAUGGAUCAACCGCUCCAGAUUCUCUCUAGCUUUUCUGCCUUAUUAUCAUUAGAGUUAUAUUAGAGUUAUGUUAUAUAAUGUACUAGUAUAGCAAAGAGUCUUUACCACCCAAAAAAUUAGCUAAUAAAAUGAGGGUUCCCCCACUUAUAUAUUUGAUAUAUUGCCCUUUAACAACUAAUAUCGGACUAUACAAUAUAUACAUCCGGAACACAUAUGACCGUGCCGAAUCAGCCAAUCAUGGAGCUCAUUGUCAUUCACCUAGGCUUAGCUAAAAAAAACAAGUUUAUAUGUAGGUCGAAUAGACAGGAUCGUAUGUAUAGUCAUUAUGUUCUCGUUAACUCAUCCCAUAAUAUUUUUAUUGUUAGUUUGUCACGUUUGUUCUAAUAAAUUUAUUAUUUUUAAUUAUUGAAUCGAAGUUUAUGGAAGUAGCAUAUAAUAUGUUGGGAUUUAAUAAAGCGAAGAUAUUCUUUUUUUAUUUUGAAAAAUAAACUUAUUUAAGAAUAGAUAGAACCGAGGGAAUAGAAGGCUGCUGCUUGCCAGCUUGCUGCUUUCCAGAGCACAGGAUUGUUGUGUUGGGCUGGUUUUUUCGGUUGGGCUGGUUUUGGUUCGUUUGCGGCUUUACGCCACGAGAACGAGAGGCACACGGAGCGCAGGGGUCGAGCAAUGCGACAACAACAAGAAGCUGAGUGUGUUGGUUAGCUUCGCGGAUGAGACGACAAGAGAGACGAAACGAGGGCGAAGGGAAUCCCCCGUCAUCCGGUGUGGGCGUGAGUGACAACUAGGAAGAACAGGGACCUGCUGGCUACCUGGAGGCUGGAGCUUAGUAGAUGCGGAUAAGAUCACAACACAAAGCACGCUGGUUAAAAAAAAACAUAAUAUGAAAUAGUUAGAGGAGCAAGAUUUUAAACCCAGAUCAGAUAGCCCACCAUCUUAUAAAACACGCUGGUUGCUUGCUCCUCCUCUGUCUGCCGUGUGCCUGUGUUGCCAUUAUCCUUUUUUUAUAUAUAUUUGUCUUACAAAAUAAUAUAAUAAACUAAAAAAAUAAAUAUAAUAUUUUUAGUUUAUUAUAUUAUUUUGUAAGACAAAUAUAUAUACAUACAAUUCUAUUGUAUUUAAAGUAAAGUAUCAAUAAAUUUAUUAGUACUAAAAUUUUUAAAAUUGGACUUCAACAUUGUAAAAAUGGUAAGUAAGUAGUACUAACAAUCGUUAAGUUGUUUCAUCUGGAAGACGUAAGCAUCGGCAGGUGGUCGUGCCGGAGUGGUUAUCGGGCAUGACUAGAAAUCAUGUGGGCUCUGCCCGCGCAGGUUCGAAUCCUGCCGACCACGGUUUUUUUAUCUUCUCCAGUAGUCCUGUUAUAUGCAGCGUUUCCGCCUAAUUGUCUUUUGGGAUUUGGGGCUUUCAACACCUUACUAGUCACUGGGCUCAAACUUUAUCAGGCCUUUCCUUUCGGCCUUCCAAGGGUUAAUAGGCUCAAACCAAAACUGUUGGGCCGUGUAAACUAAUAACAACACCCCCCCCCAAUCCCCCCUAUACAAAGCUCUCUUCCUCCUCUCCUUCUCUUUCUACUACACUAUAAAUUUUUUAAAAAUAAAAAACACAAAGUUGAAAAAUUUUAUGUAUAGAAAUACUAUAUAUAAAAAAUUUGAAACGGGUAUGUAAACUUUUGACUUACAAUCUUUGGGUCUAUAAACUAAUAUUUGAAUUCAAAUUCAAAUUUAAAUCAGGUAUGUAAACUUUUGACUUAUAAACUUUGGGUCUAUAAACUUUAGAUGUAUAGAAAUACUAUAUAUAAAAAAAUAUUUGAAUUCAAAUUCAAAUUUAAAUCGGAUAUAUAAACUUUUGAUUUAUAAACUUUAGAUCUCUAAACUUUAGAUGUGUAAUCUCGAGGUGUAUAAACUUUAGGUGAACAAAUUUACUAAAAUAAAAAAAUAAUACGGUAAAAAAAAAAAGAAACCCAUGGAGAAGAGGGGGCGCGCUAGGGGUGUUCGAUCGCCCGUUAAUUAGCAACCUCGAUCUGGACUUGGCCUAUUCUCCUAUACGAACGCAUUUUCUCUCUGUACCAUCAGAAAUGUCAAUCACAUUGCAAUUUGCAUGUCAUGUCACACACUCACGCUCACGGGUUCAACCUCUUAGCACAUGGCCCCCACGUACCCCGACCGAAACACCCAUCCCCUCCUCCUUCCAUGCCUCCACCUCGCCGCACGUACGUCCGCGCGCGAAUCCCCCCCAGGAUUCCUUGGAACAAAUCCACGGGCAGAUCGCGCGGCGACGACGACGACGGAGGACGGAGAAAUCGCGAGAUGGAACGACCAGCGAACACGUUCUUUCUGCAUGCAUGCGGCCAAAGACGAACACAGUAAGCUAAGAAACUAGUUCCUCCGAUCCUCCGUUUUAUAAUAUACUCCAUCCGUUUCGAAAUAUUUAACACCGUUAACGUUUUAGUGCGUAUUUAACCAUUCGUCUUAUUAAAAAAAUUGUGAAAUAUGUGAAAUUAUAUGUGUACAUGAAAGUAUAUUUAACAACAAAUCAAAUGAUAUGAAAAGAAUAAAUAAUUACUUAAAUUUUUUUAAUAAGACGAACGGUCAAACAUAUACUAGAAAGUCAACGGUGUCAAACAUUUUAAAACCGAGGGAGUAGCAAUCUAUAAUCGGAUAGAACACAUUCUAACACUAUAAAAUUUAAAUAGACUUAUAUUCAGAUUCGUAGAAUUAUAAUGUAUCGCAUCUAAUCUUGGUUUACUAUAUUAUGAUACCAAGGGGGUAAAAAUCAACAGCUAGCCUAUUCAAUUUCCACGAGCUGUUAACCUGAUAGCAUGAAAAAACUUUUUCUUUUUCCGAUUAGAAGGCAUAUACAUACGGUGAGUUAUUUUUCAUGGAAUAUAAACAAUGACAUAAGCAACAGAAAAUAAUUGUAGGGUACGGCUUUUAUGCUGUUAUCCUUGGCUUUUAUACUUCUAUCAUCCUUGGCGGUUUAAAAACUACUUCAUCUGUUUAAAAAAUAUAAAAGUUUGUUUGUAUUCCUAGAAAUGUAUGUGAAUGGAGGGAAUGGAUGUACAGAUAUAUUCAGAAAACGGGUAUAAAUACUUGUAUUUUUUAACGUAGAGGAUGAACGUAAAGAAAAUAUCAUUAAAAAACACCUAAACUAAUUUGAAGUUAAGUUAUUGUCUUAAAUGAAUUAUAUGACCAACUCUUACAUAAGUAUGUUUUCUCAAAAUAAGUCUUCUACUGUAUUACUCCCUCCGUCUCAUAAUAUAAGAGAUUUUGAGUUUUUGCUUACAACGUUUGACAUCUCGUCUUAUUCAAAAAAUUUUAAAAUUAUUAAUUAUUUUAUUUGUAACUUACUUUAUUAUCCACAAUAUUUUAAGCAUAACUUUCUAUUUUUUAUAUUUGCAAAAAAAAUUGAAUAAGACGAGUGACAAACGUUGCAAGUAAAAACUCAAAAUCCUUUAUAUUGUGGGACGGAGGGAGUACUUAGGUUGUGUCCUUAGGUGAGGGUUGGGAACCCUCGCCUCCGAUACGGAAAACGGAGCAAUGGAUUAGUGUAUGAUUAAUUAAUUAUUAGCUUAAAAAAACUUCAAAAAUGAAUUAAUGUGAAUUUUUAAAGCAGCUUUUCUAUAGAAAAUAACCACGCAUCGUUUAGCAGAUAGGGAAGCGUGCACGACUGCACGUGGUAAGCGGGAGAGCGAGGUUGGGAAAUUGAAAUGAAGAACGCAGCCUUGGACCACUUAAUUGAUGUUCUAUUUGUCAACUUUAUUCCAAAUUUAUCUAUAAAUAUAUAAUUAAAUACAUAUAUAAUCCAUUCAACAACAUAAAUCAAACGAGACCGACGUGGACGAACAUUCACAAUUCACAAGGUCACUCUAGAAUUAUCUGGACACUGCCCCGAUGGCCCCAAAUAAAAUUAAGUAGCAGUCAAUAUGGGCUUGUUCACUUUAUUGUUAUUUUCAACCUUACCCUAAAAUUUGGCAUAGUUUUGAUAGGAUUUCUUAUAUAGUUAUCAAAAUUUAGCAGCAAACUAAAUAUAGCCACUUUUUUAAUAACUUUACUAAUAUUUUGUAAGGUUGAAAAUGACAUUAAAAUAAACUGUCCUACGUACAUGCAUGCUAGCUUGGCUAGCUGUAGUCACUGCGCAGUAUUCUUUCUUCAGAAGAACAAACCUAACAAAAUUCUGUCAAGUUUUGGCAGCUAAUAACUGAAGAUCAAGCGCAGAAGCUAAGCUAGCAGAGUGUGGAAAUUCAACAGCACUACCCGACUGUCUACAUGCAUGUAUGCGAGAAUAUUCUCAGACCAAAAUUAGGAGUAAACAACCGUCGCUUCAGUCAUCCCAUUUCCAUGCCCUCUGGAUUGGGUAACCUUAAUUUAACUCUCGUUUUCCUUAUCUGCUUUCACGCAUGCUUUAAAUAUUGCCCUGUUGGUCAAUGGUCACCGAGAAAAAAUUCAGAGAAAUUUGGCGAGUAAGCAAUACACUGAAAGUACUAGCUACUCCGAGCACUUCAGUGCCAAAGCUCUACAAUUAACUAAGGUUAAUUGCAGUUUUUGCAGGUGUGUUACUAACCACUGCAAACUGUUUAUUUACAGCUGUAUGCGUGUGUGCCCUUGACUUAAGCUGCGUGUCCAAAACGAACUCGUAUACUACAUACUUUCAAAGUUUUAGUGUUACCAAAGUUAAGUAGGUAAUUAUACUAGUCCUAGUAAGGUAGCCAUAUGAGAUUAAAGGAAAUAGGCUAUAUCGCACAUGCAUUAUUUCACUCCGUUUGAUUCGUUAGAUAGCUAGAUCUGGUCGUUUCUCUGACUGAUGCUAAUUUACCAAGCUGAUGCAAUGAUACUACUAGUAGAAGAUCGACGAGGAGGAAAGCUGGUAAAUUCCCAAUAAUCUGCAUGGAUGUAUCAGUCAGAUUAUUAUUCCAGGCUCGUCACUGUCACACACACGAACCUUCAGACUUGUUGGAUUAAUUGAUCGAUCUUGGCGUCCAGCUUGGUGACUGCGAGUAGUAGUAGCUAAUUAAUCCGUGGACGACUGGAUGCAAUCGUUCGAUGUGACGUUCACGGCCAUCUUGGUCAAGCUGGAUAUCUGGAUUCAGGAGUAGUGGGGAGAAGAACUGAAAGUUACAGACGAAACUACGGAAGUGUAUGUGUGUUUGAGUGUUUCAGACAUUCAGUCCACCACACAGAGAUCACAGAUGCAUGCAUGGAUGGAUCUCCCGCGGAUUGCGACGAGCUCACUGCGACGACGACUGAAUCGGAGAAGAAGCUUCUCAUCACUGCGUUGGUUUCCACUGGCUGGUUGCGUGCAGCUACUAGCUACUUCCUCCGUUUCACAAUGUAAGUUAUUAUAGCAUAUUUUAUAUUUAUAUUGAUGUUAAUGAAUAUAGACAUAUAUAUCUAUUUAGAUUCAUUAACAUUAAUAUUAAUGUAAGAAAUGUUAUAAUAACUUAUAUUGUGAAACGGAGGGAGCAGUAGUAAAAAGUAGCAAGGAGAAGACCAACUCGUGACAGCGAGGAAGAGGGCCUGCAGCUAGCUAGGUUGGCCUGCAGAUUUAUUUCUGUCUGGAUUAAUUAGGCUCCUUCUUCUUGGCUUAAUUUUUGUCUUGUUUCCUAUCUUUCCACUAUUUUUGUUAGCAGAAAUUAAAUCUCCGGUCGGACUUUCGGCUAGCUCCACAAGGUGGUGGGCCAAACGAUUCGGAUUCAAACCCUCAUCCCUUCUAAUUAUAUGAUAUUAGGUCAUUUCAUAAUAUUCAUGUUUUUUUAAUCUCCGGUCUGAAAUUUCUGAUAAAAAUUCAAGUCCCACUUAACAUAUAGCGCCAUAUUUCAUAUCCACGAUGGAUCUAAAGUUUGAACAGUGAUCUAAAAUUUUAUAUUUUCUUUAAAAUGGUUUUAGAAAUAUAGUCAUCUUUGAAGAUUCCAUGUAUUUCUGAAGUUAACAAUACCUACAUUUUUUUUCUAAAAAAUGGUGUGCAAAAUAAAACCUUAUUGGAAAACUUUUUAUGUAGUUUAAACCGAAUCCGAACGUUAGCAGGAUAGCAAGGAGAUCUAGGGGCUGUUUAGAUGCUAUACUAAGUUUGCCACCAUUCACCAUACUUUUUGUGCUAUACUUGUCUAAGUUGUGGCUUACAAAAAGUGAGCCACACCUUAGCUAGCAAAAUUGGAUUGUGCCACACUUUGUUGAGUUGAUGACAUGUGGGGUCCAAAUAGAUGAGAAGGAAUCGUGCCACAAGUAUGGCUAUGAACCAAACAAUAUGCUAACUUAGUCAAACUUGCCUAACAUGAUGUGUGGUAACCUUUGGCAAACUUUGGGAGCAAAACAAACAACCCCGUAAGCUCCCUAAAAAAAAAAAGAAAGAAAAUCGAAGCUGCAUGGAUGGAAGUACAGGAGCAGCCAGCGUGGACGAGUUGACGGUUGACCGGACCGCCGCCCGCACGUGUUUGACUAAUAAACGCCGGGACUAGGCUCUCUCCCUCGCCGCCUCAACCAGACGUGGGGCCCACUCCUCCUGCCAUGUCAGCACGUAAAUUAGUCUGUACGAGCAAGUAAUUAAUUACUGUAGCUAGUUUUUGUAGUCGUGUGAUCCGUCUUUUGGUCUUCGUCUCGUCGUCGACUAGUCCACCGUGCACGUAAACGGCCACCGCAUCGUACCUAUCCUAAUCCCACCCAUGUAGCCGGAGAGUUAUGCUUGAUAAUUUCAUGCAUGCAUCCAACAUUUCACUUGGGAAUUUACUGGAAUUUGAAGGCUAAUUAUUAAUCACAGGCUGAUUAUUUUCAUAUUUUUUUUAAAUGCAUCAAAAUGGCCGGAAGCUAAUUAAUUGAUAGACUAAGGCCCUCUUUAUUUAGGCUUAGGUUUAUUGGCCUAGACUUUUAAGUCAACUUAUUGGCUUAUAUGAUUUAUAAGCCAGUGGAUUUAAUGUCCUAAGUUUAGUGGUGGAGUCAUACAUCUAUCUCAUAUAAGCCAAAAAAGAUUAUCCAACCUAGUUUUUGGCUUAAUAGUGUUAGAGUGGCUUAUGGCUUCAAAAAAGCCAAAUAAAAAAGCUGCUUGUUUGUUUUGGCUUAGACUUUUCGACUUAUAAGUUGGCUUAUAAGCCUAAACAAAGAAGGCCUAAGCCUAAAUUUAAAACAUUAUUGAACACUAUAUCCUGAUUCAGUUUGGUUUCACUUACAUAAUUAUUCCGGCAAAUGUUGAUUACAUUUCGUCCUCAUUCAUAUCUAGAGUCUCCUCUUCCAAUUUAAGUAUUUGCAUGUGCUAGCUUCUUAAUUUUUCGUUCAAUCGCAACAACAUGCGAUAACAUCAAUGCUACUAUCUCUCUCUCUAUAUAUAUAUCUGGGAGACUCUGAAUAGAUCUCCAUGAAUACACUAAUCUUCUAGCUGAAUUACAAAUUGCAACGAAUUAUCGUACGUUUUGCUUAAACUGCCACCUUGGCACGUGUAGAGCGAGCUAAUUAAAAUCAAUCACUAAAUAUACACAGUUAAUCCUCUCUCUCUCUAGCCUAACUCCGAUCAAAGCCAUGCAAAUCGAUCAACUCUAAAAUUUUACCGUGUAAAUUGAUCGAUCGAUCUCAGCUAAAUCGAGCAAAGUUCAUCGGCGUUCUAACGAUGGAUCAGUUCUUGGUCGGCGAGAGCUCGAGGAUCCGGCCGGAGAGCGCCGUGACGAGCGCCGCCUUGAACCCGGGGUCCCUCGUCAGCGUCGCCGCCAUCUGCUCGGCCAGGUUCUUCCUCGCCGCCACCUCCGUCGACGGCCCGGCCGCCGCCGCCUGCUCUUGCUGCUGCCGGACGACGGCGGCGGCGGCGCUCGGUGGCGGCUGGUGCUGUGAGUGCUUGGCGGCGGCGGCGGUCUUGCUGCCGGCGUCGUGGUGCGGCGGCUGGGCGUGGUUGUGCUCGCCCUCGUACGUGGCGACGAGGACGGUGUUGUCGUCGGCGCUGCGCUGCACCUUCUUCUUCACCGGGCACGCCGGCGCGAACGAGCACCUGAAGUAGGCUCGCGGGCACGGGUUGUCCUUCGUCACCUUCUGCCCGUACUUCCGCCAUUGAUACCCAUCCUUCACCACCUGAAGGUUUUACAAAACCAAUUGUUGGUUAAUUACGAGGAGACCUCAUCAAUGGAUUAAUCUAAUUGUUUCGUUGCUUACGAGGCUGAGGUCGGAGGGGUCGGCGUGGACGAAGCGCUUGGAGACCUUGGGCUUGCAGUCCUCGCGGACGACGCGCUUCGCGGCGGCGGCGGCGGCCGCCGACGUGCACUCCAUCUGGUCGGGGGAGGCGUAGGCCGCGGCUGCGGCGGCGGCGACGAACGGAGGGGAUGGCUUGCGGUGGUGGGCGGCGUCGUCGAGGCUGUCGACGCUACGGAUCCGCUUCCUCGAUGGCGACACCGAGCCGCCCUCCGACGUCGACGACUGGUGGUUCCCGGCGUUGACCGCCGCCGCCGCCGCCGCCGACAUCAUGUCGUUGACCUGUCCCUGCAGCUCGGUGUACUUGGCCACCACCGCCCGAAGCAUCUCGGUCAGCUUCUUGUUCUCCUCGCUCGCUCGCCGGAGCUCCGCCUCCAGCGCCUCAACCUGGAUCGAUGGACACAAGAUCGAACAACUAAUUAAUCAAACUUUUUUUCAAUAUUCCCAAUCAAAUUCUCAUCGAUGUCGUCGCAGCUGUCAAUCUCUCCACGCACCUCGUGAUCCUUCUUGAAGGACAAGAAGUUCUCCUCCACGAGAACCUUAAUCGGCGCCGCCGGAGCCGAUGAUCUCCUCGCCGUCGACGGCAGGCCGACGUUGAGGUCCAAGCUCAGGGAAGUCUGCUCAAUCCACGAAUCCAUGAAUUGAAUAUACUGAAAAUCAAGAACAGGAGGAGGAGGAGAAGAAGGCGAAGAAGGCGAGAGCCGAAAUGCGCAUGAGCUAGUGAAGGUGCCAUGGCGACGACGAGGAGGAAUAUAUAGCCAAGAAGGUGGGCGAGAGGGGACUGACUGGCUCGGAGGAGGAAGCAUCUUAGCCAUUGUCGCCGUCUUGGUCUUGACAGUAGAAUACUACUACUAGUAGUACUACUACCAUUUCUGCUCCGGAAAAGGCAUCAAUUGUUUAUUUUUUUAAUGUCAGUGUGGUUUUCAUUUCAGCAUGUGGAGGAUAAUUAGGGUCUAAAGACUAAAGGUAGCAUCAAUCAUGUCAUUUGUGAUGAUAAUUAGUAGUAGUACUACUAUUUUCAUUUUAGAAAAUAAGGAGGAUUAAACUGUGUUUUUUAUUAGAUCUGGGAUUAUUCUGUCAAAUUAAGAGGAUAGAAGAGUCUUCUGGCUGGCUGGUUGCAUCUGCAAGCAGGGUCAAGGAAAAACACCACAUGCCAACAACCAGGAGGGUUACAAUUUGGCCCUCCUUGAAAGAAUUUAGGCUAGCUAAUUUGGAUUCAUUUGUUGACUCCUUCACUACUACCUUUUGGGAUGAACCAGCUGGUAAUUAUUACUCCGGCCCUAUUAUUUUACUUUCACUCUGCUCUCGAUCCUUAGCUUAAAAAAAGAUACUCUCCCGUUCUAUAUUACAAGUCAUUUAUUUGCCAUUAUUUUUAAGAUUUAAUUAAGUUUACAGAGAAAAUUAGCAACAUCUACAAAAUAAAAUUAGUUUCAUUAAAUAUUAAAUAUAUUUUGAUAGCAUAUUUGUUUUAUAUUGAAAACAUUGCUAUAUUUUUCUUCAAAAUUCAUCAAACUUAAAAAAGUUUAAUUAGAAAAAACUAAAACGACUUAAAAUAUGAAAAAAAUGAAGUAUGUCUUCAGGAACAGAGAGAAUAGUUAAUUGUGGUAAUAUGUGUUUUUCUCUUUUUAGUUGUGUUUUCUCUUUUUCCCAUGUAACUUUUUUUUGUCUUAUUGAUGCUGUCUCUGAGAAAAAGUUCUUCUCUUUUUUUUUAUAGAAAUGUUAGUACAGUGUAAUAAGUUUUUAUAUUAAGAAAACACUGUAUUCUAGGACCAGUUUAGCACUAAUGAACAGAACUUACAUGUUCAAAAUCAUUUUGAGCAAACUUUCAAACUGUGUCAAGAAUAUCUGGGCUGCAUGCGAUUCGCAAAUCCGAUUACAGAUUUCCCACGGAAGGAAAGAAUCGGUUAGAACCUCGCAUUUGGAUUUUGCCUAGCCCCAAUUUCUCCAAAUGUUCAUUGGAUCUGGACCCAGCACGCACCGAGACUUUCAAUUGACAACAAGAACAGCAAAAGAAAGAAAGACUUGGACCUCUUGUGCAGGCUGCCGGUUGCCAAGAACAAAUUUGGCUUGAUCUCUUCUCGAUCGCAUGUUCGAUGGAAGCUAGGCAACUUGGCAGCGAUGGUGAGUAUAGAGAAAUCACGGAGACCAGGUCAGUUUUGUUGAUCUUUUCUUAAAAUUUUUGCUCAUUUCUUUGUGGAAAGAUGGGUGCAAAUGCGUAUGUUUGUGCGUUUGUACUACUACUAGUCAAUGGCUGCCAUGGACUUUAUCCGUAAACCAUUUUUAAACUGUUUUAGUUACUUGUUUGGUAUGGCUGUAGGUUGAAAGUUUGUUGAAACUACUAAAAUAAAAAAGGUAAGGUAUGGAUCAGGAGCAGAGGAGGAAACUGGUACUAGGAUUGUUUCAACAGGUUUCUUCUCUUGAAUUCGACUGGACGAAACCAAAAGUGGCAAAAUUGGUCUGCACUACUACUUCAGAAUUCUGAAUCUAGAAGAAAGUCGUAGAUUUUAAAUUCAAGGCUCAUUUGCGCAUUAAAUCUCCCCGGGGAAGAUGCAUUGUACUACUAACUCUGUAACUCCUCUUGUCUUGACCAAAUACUGAUUGCAAUUUGUAAAAAACCAUUAAUUAGUCAACACAGGACCCUAAUUAGGGAUGGAAGAUGCUGUCCAGAUUUGCAUUGUGAGCCACAUUUUUCGUCACAUGUGAACUGGCCUCGCCGAAACUGUGUGCUGGCCAGCGACGGCCGCCAUGCAUACAGAUUCUGGUGGUGUCCUUGUUGCGAGGGAACCUUUUUGGUUAGUAGUAGUAGCAAGCAAGAUGCCAGUAGUCCUAGUAGUUAGUGUGUGAUCCAUGGAUGAGAUGCAUGGUCGAAUUAAUCUAUCAACAGCAUUAUCUUCACAUUUCUCACGUUUAGCAUAUGCAGUUAGUUGGAGGAAUCCAUGCAAAUGGACUGGUAAAGUACUACAGUAGGACUAUGUUGGUGGCACUGGGGUGAUAAGCUUACGGAAAUUCCUAAUCAUCGGACGCUCGUUUUUCAUUUUUACCGGCCGAGAAUAGUUACCGAUGAAAACCAAAAUAAAAAUGGUAAAACAUAUGAACAUGGAAACGGAAAUGUUUUUUUUAUACCGAACAUCUUCGAAUUUUACCAUAUUCUUACUGUAAUUACCUUUUUCUAAAGCUGAACGAAAGAGCAGAAGUUUUCAUCAGCUUUCAGUAAUUCGAAGGAAUAAAAUGAUUUUUUUUUACAGAAUGAAGGGCUAUCAAUGAAAACCAAACGGCGAUGAUAUUUCUAGAAAAAAAGACACUUAUUCGAUGAUAUUUUUAGGAAGAUAGAGCAUCCCAUCCUACUCUCCAACCAAAAUAAUAAUUAUUAUAGACAAAAAAAAUCCUCCAAAGGCCUUUCCAUCCCACUCUUUAUCUAAACUCCUUCCCUCACUUGUCAAACUUGGUUAGCCUACUUCACUUGCCAUGCAGAUCCCAUUGCCUUCUUCUCUUUCU
rnacentral:lncRNA from 1 species